rnacentral:lncRNA from 1 species
UGCAGCCUCACCCAGACAUAAGAAGCUUGACAAUUGAGGGUUAUGGAGGUGAAAAUUUCUCAUCAUGGAUAUUGCAACUCAAUAAUCUGACGGUGCUGAGAUUGAAAGGCUGCAGCAAGUUGAGGCAACUCCCAACACUUGGAUGUCUUCCACGCCUUAAGAUUCUAAAGAUGAGUGUAAUGCCUAAUGUGAAAUGUAUAGGCAAUGAGUUCUAUAGCAGCAGAGACAGCGCAGGUGUACUGUUUCCAGCACUACAAAUACUCACUCUAUCCAGGAUGGAUGGUCUUGAAGAAUGGAUGGUACCAGGUGGAGAAGUUGUUGCAGUAUUUCCUUGUCUUGAAGAGUUGAGCAUUAAGGAUUGUGGAAAGUUGAAAAGCAUUCCGAUAUGUGAUGAGCUGAGAUAUUUGUCUGGUGAAUUUCAUGGCUUCACGUCUCUUCGAGUUUUAAGUAUAUGGAGCUGUCCAAAGCUGGCAUCCAUUCCAAGCGUACAACACUGCACAGCUCUGGUGUAAUUGGGUAUUAUUUGGUGCGGUGAGUUGAUCUCAAUUCCUGGUGAUUUCCGAGAUUUGAAUUCUUUGAAGAAAUUGAGGGUUAAUGGGUGUAAAUUGGGAGCUCUUCCAAGCGGACUACAAUGUUGCGCAUCUCUAGAGGUAUUAAAGAUAAAUGAUUGGAGUGAGCUUAUCCAUAGCAAUGAUUUUCAAGAAUUGUCUUCGCUUCGAAGUUUAUCGAUUAGCGGUUGUGAUAAGCUCAUCAGUAUUGAUUGGCAUGGUUUACGACAAUUGCCUUCUCUUGUUGAAUUAGAAAUCACCGCGUGUCCCAGUUUGAGUGAUAUCCCAGAGGAUGAUUGGUUGGGCCUCACCCAACUGCAGUAUUUGAGAAUCGGUGGUUUCUCAGAGGAGAUGGAGGCUUUUCCUGUAGGAGUUUUAAACUCAUUCCAACACCUCAACUUGAGUGGGUCCCUCAAAUCCCUAUACAUACAUGGAUGGGAUAAACUGAAGAGUGUACCACACCAACUUCAACACCUCACUGCCCUCGAGAUAUUGGGGAUAAUGGAUUUCGAUGGAGAGGAGUUAGAGGAAGCAUUGCCAGAAUGGAUGGCCAACCUUUCUUCUCUUCAAUCUCUUUGGAUUGGGGGUUGCAAGAAUCUCAAGUAUAUGCCAAGUUCAACAGCCAUUCAACGCCUCUCCAAAUUAAAGGAAUUGAUUAUCUUCGGGGGAUGUCCACAUCUUAGAGAAAAUUGUAGAAAGGAGAAUGGCUCUGAGUGGCCCAAGAUUUCUCAUAUCCCAACAAUCCAUAUGUAGGGUACACGUGUAUAGGGAAGUUGGUGUUUUAAUUAUUCCGUUACUUUGUAAUAUGCUGAGGAGAGAGAACCAAUUAAAGUAUUCAAAUUAAUGAAAGCAAUAAUUAGACUUUAUUCUUUUAAGAAUGGUUUAUUUCUCGUAUUACAAUAUUUUUAUAAAAAAUACUUUUAAUUAAGAUUGUUUGAAAAAAUAGAUGUUUUGUUAAAAUAGAUAUUUUACGACUCUUUGAUUUAUAACACUUAUAAAUUCAAUAUCCUAAUUCAUCAUAUCAAAACACUAAAAUUUAAAACCAUAUCUAGAACUUGAACUUUAACUUGUGAUAUAUUUAGUUAUCAAUUGAGCUAAAUGAAUGAUAUUAUUUUGGUCAAAUCAAAAGCCAUCUUUGUUAAUUACCCUAAUAAACUAUUGUUUAUCCAUAAUCAAAGAUCUCUUAUAGGCUUACAAAACUAUUUAUAAAGAAUGCAAACAUAGUACAUUUUGCAUGAACUAUCAUAAUCUACUUUAAAUACCUAGCAAUCAACUACUCUUUCUGAAAAAUCAUUCUUAGCCACCGGUUGGUAGAGUUUUCAAUGUACUUAGCAAUAGUUCUCCCAUCCCAAUGUAUGGAGUCAUUGUAAAAAUUUUAAAUGUAUCCAAAUGGAAAAAAUUGUUCCUUUAUCUUUCUCUUUAAUUGCUUCCACCAAGCAUAAGCUCGCCCUUUUAAUCUAAUACCAAUAAGCUUCACCCUUAUCUGUUCUUAAACUUUUAUGCACUUGAAAAUCCUUUAUACUUCAUUCAACUAAACGAUAAACUCUUCCACUUGUAAAGUUCCUACAAAAUUAGAAAGUUUAAUUUAAAAAUCAAAAUCUCCAUGAAGUGCUGCCCAAUUAAAAGGUUGCCUCCUCUAGAUUAGCCAGGGUUCACAAUUACUCUCCUCCUAUUCUUGUUGGGUGUUGUCGCACCCAACAUCGGGGCGGCCUUAAAAUUUUUAUUAAAUCUUUGGAAAGAAUGGAUUUCUGGCAUCCUGUUCUUUGAUGGGAAUAUUCUUGUUUAAGGAGUCGCCAUCUAGUAUUAUAGUUACUAGGAACCCUAAUUAGACAACAGAGAUUCUAUGGUUCGGGACUGGUUACAUAAAAUGGAAGAUAUUAUCACCCCUUAAACGUCUUGCCUGAGGCAGGCUGCAUUGCUGGUUUCGUCUUAAAUUGCUAAAUGUUUAUUAAUUUAUGUUAUGAAAAUUUGCUUAUAAUAUUCCUGACUCUGGCGCCAGUGAAUAUUUAAUUACGAAUAUUUCCAACUCUGGCGUUGGUAAAUAUUACGUAGCUAUAAAAAUAAAUUUAAAUCAGUAUUUUUUUUAUUCCCGACUCUGGCCCCAAUGAAUAAAUAAAUAAUAAUACAUUUAUUUUUUUGAAUGCACAUAUUUUUUAUUUUUUUUCUAGCUAAAUAAAAUUGAAUAAACGAAUAAAAAUAAUAUAAAUUUAAACCGGUAUUUUUAUUUCUGACUCUGGCGUCAGUGAAUAAACCAAUAAAUUUACAUUAUUUUUAUUCUCGCAUACACAUUCUUUUUUUUCUGUAUUAUUUUUUUUUUGUUGGGAUAGGCCCGGCCCGGCCCGGCAUAGUAUUUUUGGGCUGGGGCCUAGCUCAGCCCAUAUGGGCUGGGCUCAGAAGAACGCGUGCUGCUGCACUGUGCAAGUGAAUUAAAAUUCACUUGCACACUGCAUAAGGCAUUUGAAAUAAAUGCAGAAGAAGAAACCACUUACCUGGUCUGCUGGAAUCGAUGGACACGAUGGGGAAGCUCUGGCUGACCGGCACUGACUCCUCUCCUUUGCCCCUUCUUUUGCUUUCCUUUACUUUCUCUUCAGGUUCUGGAAACGCUGAAGGCAGUGGCAGCGAUCUCGUGACUUUCCUCUGCUCUUGUGUUUUUUUUUUUGGUCUGUGUGUCUCCUGGGUUUUCCAGUCGAGAAGAUGAUGAAGAGGCCGGCCUGAUGGGAACUUGUUUUUGAUUCAGGGUUUUUGUUGUUUGCAGGGACGAAACAAUGAGGGCCAAUCUCGUCUCUAUGUUUUGUUGUUCUCUGUGUCUCUGUGUAUUUAUUUAUGCGCGUCUCUCUGUUUUUCCCUUGUUUCCCCUGCUUUUCUUCUGUUUCUGGUUACUGGUAUUUUGCUCUGUCUCUCCUCCUCCCGAUCUUCUCUGUUCAAGACGAAGAUGAUGGUGGUCUAGGCACCAGGUCUGCUGGUUGAUGGCCCCUUCCCCCUCGGUGAAUUUGUGUUUUUUUACUCUGUAUUUUUAGCUCUCGAUCUCCCCCUCCUCUUUGUGUUUUCUUCGUCCUGCCUUUUAUAAGGCCAGAGACCUUCAAAAAACCAUCACCUCCACCUACGGGAUUGUGGCAAUCGUGGCAGAAGACAUCGUCACGAUUUGGAUCGGAUGCACUGGGAUUUUCCUAUUGAAUCGGCUGCCUCCGUGCGAAACGGAAGGGAUGAAGAACACAGCUUCCAAACGGUGUCGUUUGUGUGUUUGAAGCACUUUUUCACUUUGGUCCCUGCUUUCUUUGGAAAUUUUGAUAAUUGGACCUCAAAUAAAAAUUCCUUUUAAUUUUGCCCUUUUCUGGAUACAUUUCAAUUUGGUCCUUAAUUAAUUCUUUCAAUUUUGUCCUUUUUGGAUAAAUUUCAAUUAAGUCCCUGAAUUUAUUUAAUUAAUUAAAUCCAAGUUUAAUUAAGUCCACAAACUUAAUAAUUCUUCUAAUUUCAUUAAUUAAACUAAUCCAAAUUUUAAACAAAUUUCCAAACUUAUUAAUUCUUCAAUUUCUGACCAAUUUAUUCUCAAAUCUGAUAUUUUUCUCCCUAAACUUUAAAAUUUGUUGUCUUAACCCCAUUGUCAACUAUAUUUUUAAUCAUUGAUUUUGUAUUAUUUAUUUAAAAAAUUGGGUUAUGACAGUUGCCCUCUCUUUAUAGUAUUUAUGAUGCAAAGAUAUUGAAAUUUUUUUUAUUUUCUAUAGCUUUGUGUCGUGAAUUUAUAAAGAAAAAUAGACACAGAAAGAACUUUUGCCUCUUUUUUAGAGUCUUGAACACUUCAAAAACCAGAGAUUGACAUAUGACUUUUAUACAGAAAACAAGUCAUUUGGAAGAUAGCCUAUUUUUUUUUUUUUUAUUUUUUUUUAUGGUCGAGGGCUCGAAGGCGCACUCGAAAAUAAAUAAGACGAGGGCUCGAAGGCGCGCUCGAAUGGAGGUAGGAUAGAAAAUGCACUACCUUUGAUGGUCGAGGGCUCGAAGGCGCGCUCAAAAAUAAAUAAGUCGAGGGCUCAAAGGCGCGCUCGAAUGUAAAUAAGACGAGGGCUCGAAGGCGUGCUCGAAUGGAGGUAGGAUAGAAAAUGCACUACCUUUGAUGGUCGAGGGCUCGAAGGCGCGCUCAAAAAUAAAUAAGACGAGGGCUCGAAGGCGCGCUCGAAUGGAGGUAGGAUAGAAAAUGCACUACCUUUGAUGGUCGAGGGCUCGAAGGUGCGCUCGAAAAUAAAUAAGACGAGGGCUCAAAGGCGUGCUCGAAUGUAAAUAAGACGAGGGCUUGAAGGCGCGCUCGAAUGUAAGACGAGGGCUCGAAGGCGCGCUCGAAUGUAAGACGAGGGCUCGAAGGCGCGCUCGAAUGGAGGUAGGAUAGAAAAUGCACUACCUUUGAUGGUCGAGGGCUCGAAGGCGCGCUCGAAUGUAAGACGAGGGCUCGAAGGCGCGCUCGAAUGUAAGACGAGGGCUCGAAGGCGCGCUCGAAUGGAGGUAGGAUAGAAAAUGCACUACCUUUGAUGGUCGAGGGCUCGAAGGCGCGCUCGAAAAUAAAUAAGAUGAGGGCUCGAAGGCGCGAUCGAAUGUAAGACGAGGGCUCGAAGGCGCGCUCGAAUGGAGGUAGGAUAGAAAAUGCACUACCUUUGAUGGUCGAGGGCUCGAAGGCGCGCUCGAAAAUAAAUAAGACGAGGGCUCGGAGGCGCGCUCGAAUGUAAAUAAGACGAGGGCUCGAAGGCGCGCUCGAAUGUAAAUAAGACAAGGGCUCGAAGGCGCGCUCGAAUGUAAGACGAGGGCUCGAAGGCGCGCUCGAAUAGAGGUAGGAUAGAAAAUGCACUACCUUUGAUGGUCGAGGGCUCGAAGGCGCGCUCGAAAAUAAAUAAGACGAGGGCUCGAAGGCGUGCUCAAAUGGAGGUAGGAUAGAAAAUGCACUACCUUUGAUGGUCGAGGGCUCAAAGGCGCGCUCGAAAAUAAAUAAGACGAGGGCUCGAAGGCGCGCUCGAUGUAAGACGAGGGCUCGAAGGCGCGCUCGAAUGGAGGUAGGAUAGAAAAUGCAUUACCUUUGAUGGUCGAGGGCUCGAAGGCGCGCUCGAAAAUAAAUAAGACGAGGGCUCGAAGGCGCGCUCGAAUGUAAGAUAUGACGAGGGCUCGAAGGCGCUCUCGAAUGUAAGAUAGGACAAGGGCUCAAAGGCGCGCUCGAAUGGAGGUAGGAUAGGAAAUACACUACCUCAGGAGUGGAAACUGAAAGGUGGUGAAAAAAAUACAGAGAUUUUUCUGGUAACCUAAUUCUCAUGGGCGGCUUGCCCAGGUUGAAAAAUUCUCAAAAAAUGAUAACUUUUCAAAAGCAAUUUCAACGUUCGCCAUUUCAAGUUGGCCUUCCACUGGAUGGAUUUUGUUUAAAAAUUUUUCUAAUGCAAAAAGUCAUUGCUCAAUGUUUCAAAGUUUAGAUGAGAUGUAUGCAUCUUUACCUGAUUUGAAAUAUAGGCCCCCAUUUCUUCGCAAUCUUCUUGUUGAUCAGUUGAUGAGAUCUUGUUAUCUGAUUUGAGUCAUCUUUGUCGCUUGACUUCUAGCCCACUCGAGUUGGCCUAUGUAAGUUUAUUUCCAGAUUUGUUUACACCUCAGUUUUUGUGGUGCCCAUUGUGACCCGCUUGCUUGCUAGAGAUUUUCUAUCUCGUCAAAUAAUUAAGUCCACAAACUUAAUAAUUCUUCUAAUUUCAUUAAUUAAACUAAUCCAAAUUUUAAACAAAUUUCCAAACUUAUUAAUUCUUCAAUUUCUGACCAAUUUAUUCUCAAAUCUGAUAUUUUUCUCCCUAAACUUUAAAAUUUGUUGUCUUAACCCCAUUGUCAACUAUAUUUUUAAUCAUUGAUUUUGUAUUAUUUAUUUAAAAAAUUGGGUUAUGACAGUUGCCCUCUCUUUAUAGUAUUUAUGAUGCAAAGAUAUUGAAAUUUUUUUUAUUUUCUAUAGCUUUGUGUCGUGAAUUUAUAAAGAAAAAUAGACACAGAAAGAACUUUUGCCUCUUUUUUAGAGUCUUGAACACUUCAAAAACCAGAGAUUGACAUAUGACUUUUAUACAGAAAACAAGUCAUUUGGAAGAUAGCCUAUUUUUUUUUCUUUUUUAUUUUUUUUUAUGGUCGAGGGCUCGAAGGCGCCCUCGAAAAUAAAUAAGACGAGGGCUCGAAGGCGCGCUCGAAUGGAGGUAGGAUAGAAAAUGCACUACCUUUGAUGGUCGAGGGCUCGAAGGCGCGCUCAAAAAUAAAUAAGUCGAGGGCUCAAAGGCGCGCUCGAAUGUAAAUAAGACGAGGGCUCGAAGGCGUGCUCGAAUGGAGGUAGGAUAGAAAAUGCACUACCUUUGAUGGUCGAGGGCUCGAAGGCGCGCUCGAAAAUAAUAAGACGAGCCUCGAAGGCGCGCUCGAAUGGAGGUAGGAUAGAAAAUGCACUACCUUUGAUGGUCGAGCUCGAAGGCGCGCUCGAAAAUAAAUAAGACGAUUGCUCAAAGGCGUGCUCGAAUGUAAAAAGACGAGGGCUUGAAGGCGCGCUCGAAUGUAAGACGAGGGCUCGAAGGCGCGCUCGAAUGUAAACGAGGGCUCGAAGGCGGCGCUCGAAUGUAAGACGAGGGCUCGAAGGCGCGCUCGAAUGGAGGUAGGAUAGAAAAUGCACUACCUUUGAUUGGUCGAGGGCUCGAAGGCGCGCUCGAAAAUAAAUAAUGAGCGGCUCGAAGGCGCGCUCGAAUGUAAGACGAGGCUCGAAGCGCGCUCGAAUGGAGGUAGGAUAGAAAAUGCACUACCUUUGAUGGUCGAGGGCUCGAAGGCGCGCUAAAAUAAAUAAGAUGAGGGCUCGAAGGCGCGAUCGAAUGUAAGACGAGGGCUCGAAGGCGCGCUCGAAUGGAGGUAGGAUAGAAAAUGCACUACCUUUGAUGGUCGAGGGCUCGAAGGCGCGCUCGAAAAAUAAAUAAGACGAGGGCUCGAAGGCGCGCUCGAAUAAAUAAGACGAGGCUCGAAGGCGCGUCGAAUAAAUAAGACGAGGGCUCGAAGGCGCGCUCGAAUGUAAGACGAGGGCUCGAAGGCGCGCUCGAAUGGAGGUAGGAUAGAAAAUGCACUACCUUUGAUGGUCGAGGGCUCGAAGGCGCGCUCGAAAAUAAAUAAGACGAGGGCUCGAAGGCGCGCUCGAAUGGAGGUAGGAUAGAAAAUGCACUACCUUUGAUGGUCGAGGGCUCGAAGGCGCGCUCGAAAUAAAUAAGACGAGGGCUCGAAGGCGCGCUCGAAUGGAGGUAGGAUAGAAAAUGCACUACCUUUGAUGGUCGAGGGCUCGAAGGCGCGCUCGAAAUAAGACGAGGCUCGAAGGCGCGCUCGAAUGAAAAGACGAGGGCUCGAAGGCGCGCUCGAAUGUAAGAUAAGACGAGGGCUCGAAGGCGCGCUCGAAUGGAGGUAGGAUAGAAAAUGCACUACCUAGGAUGGAAACUGAAAGGUGGUGGAAAAAUACAGAGUUUUUUGGUGGCCUAAUUCUCAUGGGCGGCCUGCCCAGGUUGAAAAAUUCUCAAAAAUGAAAAUUUUUCAAAAGCAAUUUGAUCUUUGGCCAUUUCAAGUUGGCCUUCCACUUGAUGGAUUUGUUGGAAUUUUCUAAUGCAAAAAUCAUUGUCAAUGUCUCAAAGUUUAAAUGAUAUGCAUGCAUCUUUACCUGAUUUGAAAUAUAGGCCCCCAUUUCUUCAAUCUUCUUGUUGAUUGUUGGUGAGAUCUUGCUAUCUGAUUUGAGUCAUCUUUGUCGUUUACUUUCUAGCCCACUCGAGUUGGCCCAUGUAAGUCUAUUUCCAAAUUUGUUUACAACUCAGCAUUUGUGGUGCCCAUCGUGACCCACUUGCUUGCUAGAGAUUUUCUGAUUCGUCAAAUAAUUUGAGAGGAUUAUUCAUUACCCCUCGUUCACUGCUAAAAACAUUGGUAUCACUUGCUGAAAGGAUCGAGCUGUCUUUUGUAAACCAAAAUGCCCCCUUGUCUGUUGAAGGAUGAUAGAAUUUUCCUUCUAAACACAAUGUUGCCCCCUUGUAUUGGUCAUUGCCCCCAAGUGUGUUAUGUCACUGACUUAGAUGAACAAUGGUUUUUAAGAGGCCAUUCUCUCAUUUGGUGAAGGAAUAUGGGUCUAGAAUGAAUCUUGAAAUCUUGAUCUUGCAUUUUGAAAACAAAAAUUAUUUCGAUGUGAGUCUAAAACAAUUUGCUUUUGAAAUCUUGCAACUCCUUGGUUAUUUUCUUUCUUGGAAAAGAGAUUAUUUGCUCUUGUGUUUGGCAAUGAGGUCUUCGGUGAAAAUAUGUCAUGAGAUGACCUUUUGUUUCGAAGUGAAGGGCUCGAGAAAAAGCUCGAGGUUUUGUAUGAGAAAAACUUGUCUCUUUUUGAACAUUUAUUUUUAUCAGCAUGAAUAAUAAUGAGUAGUUUAUUCUUGAUGUCAUGAAUCUUAUGAAAAAGUAUUCUUUGCAUUUUGAGAGCAUUGUUUAUUGUUCUAGAUUGCUUGCUUGCUUGAUUAGAAAGGACUUCUACAGGCACGUAACAUAGGCUGUGGUUUUUGGCUAUGAAAGAAAAGGAUUCAUAAGGCUCAAAGAGUGUUUCAGGGUUUCAAAGACUGAAGAUCACGAUCAAUAGUUUGACUUUUGACGUCAUUCAUAUUUUCCUUUGCCGCUCUUCUUUGAUUUGCCCCCUUUUUCUUCUUUUUCAUUGCUUCGCUAGAGCAUACUCACUUUAUCUUGGUUAUCACUUUUUCUUGUGAUUUGGGCAUGCCCCCUAGUAUUUGAGUUUCUUGGGCUCUUUUGCCUUUUGGCUUUCUCACGGCUUUAUCCUCUUUCUUGAUCAUUGAAAUUUCACUUGCCCCUUUUUUUGUGAUGUGGGCAUGAUCCCUAGCAUUUGAGUUUCUUGGGCUCUUUUGCCUUUUGGCUUUCUCACGGCUUUAUCAUCCUUCUUGAUCAUUGAAAUUUCACUUGCCCCCAGUGUAGGGUGUGAUCUUAGUCGGGAUUUUUUUAUGAAAGAAAAAUUAUUCAGGCUCAAAAAGGGUUUGCAAGGGAUGUACUUAUUUUAGAACGUGAAAGGAAUAACAAAGAUGGCCUUUCCUCAUUUCAAGCGCAAGCAGCUAUGAUCAAUAAACUUUGACCUCGUAUAGUGUGAUGGUUUAUUCUUUGCAAAGAUGCAUUUCAUGAGUUAUGAGCAACAAGUUCACUACAUACCAUUAUUCAUACAUUUAAAAACACAUGAUUCAAGAGUAAUGGGGUAAGGGUGUUUAUUUUUUUUUUUCACAAUUGUUUUUAUAAUUUAGUCACCUCAAUGAUGGAGUUGCUUGAUUCACUUGUCAUUCUACAAGUAGAAUGUCAAAAAUAUCGUUUUUGAAUAAACAUCAAAUUAUUUUUUGAAAUCAAAAUGCCAGAUCAAUUUUUUUCAAAACUCCAAUAGGGAAACUGAUUUUUGGUAAAAGAGAUGAAUUGCGUCUAUGAGAUCGCACAAGGCUUCAAAGAUGUGUUUGUGAAUCUUUAUAAGAAAACUCUCUCAGAAAAAAUGAAUAAUGCUAAUCGUAAACACGAUUGAAUGACAAACUCAUUAUUUUCAUUGAAACUUUAGAAAAUAAGUUCAACAAGAAAGAACUUAUGACAACAUCUUGGGCUAUGAAUACUGGCAUGAUAACAUAUAAAGGGCUAAACAUUUAGCGAUCAUUGAUUGGAAUUUCUGGAAUUUCAAUCAUUCAUUCUCCUCGACAAGGGCAUCUUUUCAACAGUCAAUUGAAAUCAAAUGUAGAUCAUUCUCGACCUAAUAUCACCAUAGCUUUAUCUUCAAGAUAGUUGAUUUCUAGGAGUCGAUGUGAAGCAAUUAGCUAUAGAAAUGAUAAGUGCCUUGGCAACCACCUUCAGUGAAACCGUUCUUCUCAGUCGGGUUAGCAAUCUUACCUAACCCAAUGGCUUGUUCAAUCCUCUCAGCUAUAACAACUAGGUCAGUGAAAUGUUGUGCAGAGCUUCUAACCAAGUAUUCAAAGUACGGAGCUUUAAAGGUGUCGGAAAAUAAAUUGAUCAUCUCUUUUUUCAACAUGGGAGGGUUAACUUGUGCAGCUAACUCACUCCAUCUCCGGGCGUAUUCUCUUAUGGACUCCUUGUUGUCCUUCUCCAUAGCUUGCAAGCUUAAACGAUCAGGGCCCACGUCUAUAUUGAACUUAUAUUGCCUCAUGAAGGCAUCAACUAAAUUCUUCCAUUUUUUAACCUUGGUAUUGUCCAACCGCAUAUACCAAGUGAGGGAGACAUCACUCAAGCUGUCUUGAAAGAAAUGAAUCAACAAUUCUCAUUAUCAACAACCUCAACUAUUUUAUUUCAGUAUGAUUUGAGAUAAGUUAUAGGGCAUUGAGUUCCCGUAUAUUUAACAAAUUCUGGCACUCUAAAAUUUUUGGGAAUGACAACGUUGGGCACCAAACACAUCUCAGCAGCCUUUAUAGGAUCAUAUAAGUGAAUUCUUUCAAAUGCCCUCAUCCUUUGUUCUAGGGCAAUGAAUUUAUUCAGCUCAUCUUCUUUUACCAUUUUGCCCUUUUGAGAUUCAUUCUCUGUAGAAUCAAUGGUAAACGACAUUCUCGUGGGGUAUGCUGGUUGAAAAUGCGUGGCUUGUCGAAAAUCAGAUGACAACCCAUUUGCCCCCAGAUUAUGUGGAUUGAAGGAAUUUACAAGCAUAGGUUAAGGCUGAGCUAUAAAUGUUACUUUUCCAGAUUUAUCUCUCAAGGCCUGCUCGAGUAGACUAGUAAGCCUUGCGACUUCUUCUUUAAGAUUGUCCACCUCUUUUUGAUGUUGGGCUUCCAACUGGGCUCUUUCUUCGUUUUCCAUUUGUCUUUUCUCGAAAGGGUUUAUUAUAUGUAGGUUUCAAUGGGGAACCUAUAUUUCAACCUGUAAAUGUAAAUCAUGCAAUUUAUGCAAAAAUGUUGAUUCAAUUAAAAAUGCGUAUGGAAUGCAGAUACGUCCUUCACGGGAUGACAACCUAAUAGGAAGAUCCUAAUUGUUGAGUGCAUCAAAGGGUUGGUCAUUAUCUAGUUUCAAAGGGUCUCUCGCAUGCUCAGUGAUCGUCCAUGAAAGGUCGAUAUGAGGCUUACAAGUAGUGUGAAAAUAGAGGCCCUGAGUAAUAUCAGUUUGGCAUAUCAACCACUUCCAAGUAAACAAUCAAGCGAGAGUUGGAUGGUUUCACGAGUCUUACCCAGGCUAAAGCCAUUGGGGUACCGUUACUUUUCCACUUAUCCUAGAUUUUCAGGUGUGUGCUCUCAACGUGAUGCAUGACAAUAUAAACAUGGAUGCAUGCUAAAGCAGUAAAUUCAAGAAAAAUAAACAAAUAAACAUAACAUAACAAACAUUAUAGCAAUUGAUAAACAAAAGGCAAAGCUUAGUCCAUUAGUCCCCAGUGGAGUCGCCAUUCUGUCGCAUCCAACAUCGGGGCGGCCUUACAAAUUUUAUUAAAUCUUUGGAAAGAACGGAUUUCUGGCAUCCUGUUCUUUGAUGGGAAUAUUCUUGUUUAAGGAGUCGCCAUAUAAUAUUAUGGUCACUAGAAACCCUAACUGGUCAACAGAGAUUCUAUGGUUCGGGACUGGUUACAUAAAAGGGAAGAUAUUAUCACCCCUUAAACGUCCUGCCUGAGGCAGGCUGCAUUGUUGGUUUCGUCUUAAAUUGCUAAAUGUUUAUUAAUUUAUGUUAUGAAAAUUUGCUUAUAAUAUUCCUGACUCUGGCGCCAGUGAAUAUUUAAUUACGAAUAUUUCCAACUCUGGCAUUGGUAAAUAUUACGUAGCUAUAAAAAUAAAUUUAAAUCAGUAUUUUUUUUAUUCCCGACUCUGGCGCCAGUGAAUAAAUAAAUAAUAAUACAUUUAUUUUUUUGAAUGCACAUAUUUUUUAUUUAUUUUUUUUCUAGCUAAAUAAAAUUGAAUAAACGAAUAAAAAUAAUAUAAAUUUAAACCGGUAUUUUUAUUUAUGACUCUGGCGUUAGUGAAUAAACCAAUAAAUUUACAUUAUUUUUAUUCUCGCAUACACAUUCUUUUUUUCUAUAUUAUUUUUAUUUAUUUUUUGUUGGGCUGGGCCCGGCCCGGCCCGACAUAGUAUUUUUGGGUUGGGGCCUAGCUCAGCCCACAUGGGCUGGGCUCAGAAGCACGCGUGCUGCUGCACUGUGCAAGUGAAUUAAAAUUCACUUGCACAGUGCAUAAGACAUUUGAAAUAAAUGCAGAAGAAGAAACCACUUACCUGGUCUGCUGGAAUCGAUGGACACGAUGGCGAAGCUCUGGCUGACCGGCACUGACUCCUCUCCUCUGCUCCUUCUUUUGCUUUCCUUUACUUUCUCUUCAGGUUCUGGAAACGUUGAAGGCAGUGGCAGCGAUCUCGUGACUUUCCUCUGCUCUUGUUUUUUUUUUUUUGGUCUGUGUGUCUCCUGGGUUUUCCAGUCGAGAAGAUGAUGAAGAGGCCGGCCUGAUGGGAACUUGAUGCAGCACCGGGUGACAAGCCUCAUUUUUAAGACACCCAAAACAACAAAAAGGCUUGACAUUGUUGAGUCAUAAAUUUCACUAUUGAGCACUUUAAGUUUCUUACGUAACGCUGGGAGUUUCAUUCCCGUUUCCUCACAUAGCUUUUAUUUCCAUAAUUAAAUUAGAGUUGUUUGCUUUAGGAGUCUAAGAGUUUAAUUUUCUUUCCGUUUCUACAUUCAGUUUUAUUUCCUAGUUAAUGCAGGACUGUUUCCUGAUCUAAGGGAGUUGUCUUUAGGAGUCUAAGAGGUCAGUUCCUCUAUUUAUUGGAUUGUAAUCGCUUUGCGACAGAUAGAUGGAAUAAAAAUAAAAAAACUUCUUUGAGUAGUUAACUCAAAAAUCUCUCUUUCUCUGUUUUCUGCGGAAUUACAGAUCGAAGAAACCCUUGUGUGUUGGAACACGUGCGAACAUACCGAACCCUUGUGAACAACCGUUGGAUGAAGUCUAUGAGCGCGAUGAGAUUGCACGAUUACAACAGCAAGUCGAGACGUUAACGCGGCAGUUAGCAGCGUCAAUGGCUCAACAUCAGGAUCAGAAUCCACAAAACAUGGAAGAGGAGUCCGAAAGUGAAGAAAAUCCAUUCGCCCCUUAACUAGCACAGAGGAGACCAGCGAAUGACGAAUCAAGGCGUUGGGAGAUAGGCCUCAAAAUUGACAUACCAGAGUUCCAUGGUGGUUUACAAACGAAUGAGUACCUCGACUGGAUCAAUACCGUAGAUGAAGUUUUGGAAUUUAAACAAGUUCCAGAAGACAGACGGGUGGCCCUCGUUGCAACAAGGCUCAGGGGUCGGGCUGGAGCUUGGUGGCAACAGGUAAAGAAAACAAGGGCUCUACAGGGGAAAAGAAAGAUCACGUGAUGGGACAAGAUGAAAAAAAACAUGCGUUCUGCGUUUUUACCAUACAAUUAUACACGGACGCUCUACCAACGGUUACAAAAUCUAUGACAAGGCAACCGAUCAGUUGAUGACUACACUACGGAGUUCUACCAACUAGUUUCGCGAGAUGCGAUUGCAGAGGACGAGGAGUCGCGGGUGGCGCGAUAUAUUGGGGGACUGUGGAUUCAAUUCCAAGAUGUCCUUAAUAUGUUUGAUGUGUUGAGUGUGUCUGAUGCUCACCAGAGGGCAGUGCAAUUAGAAAAACAACAGGUGCGCAGAAAUACAGGGGGCAUAAAUUUUGGAGGUCCGGGUGCAGGUACGAGCAAUAAAAGCGGACGAACAGGGAACAUGAGUUUCGGGGGCUCCAGUACAGGUGGUGCAAGUAGCAGUAGCAGCGGACGAGCAAACAUCCCACCAUCUACUAUGACCAAACCCUUUGUGCCCACUCACACAACGGCACCAACCACAGGUUUUCGUUGUUUUAAUUGUGGAGAGCCAGGACACAGAUUUGCAGAAUGUAAGAAAGGACCACGGAGGGGAUUAUUUUGGACGUUGAAGAAAACAUCAGGGUGCAAGAAGGCGAUGUGACACAGAACCAGUUUAUGAUGAGGAGGAGCGACUGGAAGGAGAUCAUGGUCCCUUAUUGAUGAUUCACAAGAAGCACAUGGGUUAUUGCCGAGGGGAAAGUGUGGAAAUCAACCCUGGAACAACCUAUAGCAGCACAAAGAUAAUUGAAGAGCGUUUAGAGGGGGAUACUGGACCAGUAUUAAUGAUCCGACGUAGUUGCUUAGCACCCCGUGGAGUAGAAGAUGACUGGUUGCGGACUAAUGUAUUCCAGUCCACCUGCACAAUUAGCAGGAAGGUUUGUCGAUUUAUCGUUGACUCAGGUAGCUGUGAAAAUGUAUUGUCCGAAGAGGUGGUCCGUAAGCUACACCUGGCAAUAGAAUCACAUCCGCGACCAUAUAAACUAACUUGGCUAGAUAAGAAGAAUGAUGUUAGAGUGACAAGGCGCAGCUUAGUGUCUUUUUCAAUUGGCGCAACCUACAAAGAUCAGGCUUGGUGCGAUGUGGUUUCCAUGGAUGCUUGUCAUCUAUUAUUGGGCAGACCAUGGUUAUAUGACCGCGUGUGAUGUAUGAUGGGUUCUUGAAUACAUGCACUUUCAUGUUUAAUUCAAUCAGGGUUGUUGGUCCCAAAAAGAGAAAGUUACAGCGGCAUUCCAAAAGGAGAAAACAACAAUUUAUUGACGAUGGCUAAGUUUGAAGCGGAAAUUAGGGAAUCUGGAAUGGUUUACAUACUGAUUGGAAGAAUGGAAGUUGAGGACAAGCAUCAUUCCGGGCACGUUGAACCAUUAUUGCAGGAGUAUGGAGAUGUAUUUCCAGCUGAGCUUCCUGAAAGCCUACCCCCAUUAAGGGACAUUCAGCACCACAUUGAUCUGGUGCCCGGUGCCAAUUUGCCCAACAGACCACAUUAUCGGAUGAGUCCGAAGGAGCAUGAAGAAUUACGGCGCCAAGUAGAGGAAUUGCUAGCAAAAGGACAUAUUCGAGAGAGUCUUAGUCCUUGUGCGGUACCUGCCCUUUUGACCCAAAGAAAGAUGGGACUUGGCGAAUGUGUGUUGACAGCAGGGCCAUCAAUAAAAUUACGGUUCGUUACAGGUUUCCAAUCCCACGGUUGGAUGACUUGCUGGAUCAGUUGAGUGGGGCCACAAUUCACGAAGCUGGACCUGAAGAGCGGAUAUCACCAGAUUCGUAUUCGACCCGGAGAUGAAUGGAAAACAGCCUUCAAACUCGAGAAGGACUUUUUGAGUGGAUGGUCAUGCCGUUCGGGUUGUCUAAUGCCCCAAGCACAUUCAUGCGGGUGAUGAAUCAAGCCCUACGGCCCUACAUUGGUAAAAGCGUGGUGGUAUAUUUUGAUGAUAUUUUAAUUUACAGUGUUGAUCCUACGAUGCAUCUACAACAUCUUCGGGAGUUUUGGAUGUGUUACGCAGGGAGCAGUUUUUGCAGCAAAAACAAGUGUGUGUUCUUAACUGACCGGGUCUUGUUCUUGGGGUAUAUCAUUUCUUCUGAAGGGCUCUCAGUAGACGACUCAAAAAUUGAAGCCAUCAAACAGUGGCCACAACCACAAAACGUGACUGAUGUCCGAAGCUUCCAUGGGUUGGCCUCGUUCUAUCGCCGUUUCAUUCCACACUUCAGUGGCAUAAUGGCCCCAAUGACUGAUUGUAUGAGGAGCAAUGGUAAGUUUACAUGGACACCUGAGGCCGAGAUAUCCUUCCAAGAAAUCAAGCAACGACUGACCACUGCCCCAGUACUUGUUCUGCCAGACUUUUCAAAUCCUUUUAAGCUACAUUGUGACGCCUCAAAACUAGGAGUCGGAGCGGUUCUGAGCCAAAAUAGCAGGCCUGUCGCCUUCUUCAGUGAGAAACUCUCAGGGGCAAAGACACGGUACAACACCUAUGACAUUGAAUUAUAUGCAGUGGUUCAAGCAGUAAAGCAUUGGAGGCAUUAUAUGUUUCUUCAGGAGUUCGUUUUGUUCACUGAUCAUGAUGCCCUUAAACACAUGGGGAAUCAAGAUAAGAUUUCAUCUCGACAUGCAUCUUGGGCUGCAUACUUACAACAAUUCACUUUUGUCAUUAAACAUAAGGCGGGCACACAGAAUCGAGUGGCUGAUGCCCUCAGUCGUCGAAAAAAUUUGCUGGUUGACAUGCAUGUCAAGGUAUUGGGUUUCGACUCCUUUCAGCAGCUUUAUACCUCUGACCCUUUCUUUGCUGCUGUGAUAGAGAAAAUUCAGAACAACCAACAAAGUGAUUUUGUCCUGCAAGAUGGGUUUGUUUUCAAGGGCACCCAAUUGUGUAUACCUGACUGUAGUCUACGGACCAAGAUCAUACAAGAGCUGCACGGAGAAGAGCAUGUGGGAAGAGACCGAACUUAUUUGCUGGUGGCUGCGUCCUAUUUCUGGCCAUCACUGCGUAAAGAGGUUGGGUGUUUUGUUGCACGAUGUCGGGUCUGUCAAGUUGCAAAAGGGGGAGCUACCAAUGCCGGUUUGUACAUGCCACUUUCUGUUCCAAUACGGCAAUGGUCCGACAUCAGCAUGGAUUUUGUUUUAGGUCUCCCGCGCACCCAACGGGGAUUUGACUCUAUUUUUGUGGUAGUAGACAGGUUUUCAAAAAUGGCUCAUUUUAUUCCGUGUAAGAAAACGACAGAUGCUGUUAAUGUGGCUGAGUUGUUCUUUCGAGAAGUUUAUCGGUUGCAUGGGCUGCCAGAGUCAAUCGUAUCAGAUAGGGACACUCGUUUCCUAAGCCAUUUCUGGCGGAGUCUUUGGAAGAUGGUCAAUACUCGCUUGAAUUUUAGUAGUGCUUAUCACCCUCAAUCAGAUGGGCAAACCGAGGUAGUGAACAGGUCAUUGGGAAAUCUUCUUCGCAGUUUGGUAGGUGAUCAGUUAAAAUCUUGGGACAAGAAACUUGGCCAGGCAGAGUUUGCUCAUAACCAUGCAGUCAAUCGUAGCACCAAGCUCAGCCCCUUUGAAAUUGUGUAUGGGUUUCUUCCACGGUGUCCACUUGAUCUGGCUCAUCUACCAAGCAACACCAAAGUUAAUCACAAAGCAGAAGACUUUGUCACUCAGCUGCAGGAUGUUCACAACCUUACUCGACAAAACUUGAUGGAAUCUAUUGCCAAAUUCAAACGAGUUGCGGACCAAAAACGGCGACUUGUCGAUUUUGAAAUAGGUGACUUUGUCUGGGUGGUGCUAACCAAGGAUCGUUUUCCUAUAGGUGAAUACAAUAAAUUGUCACCAUGAAAAAUUGGUCCAGUGGAGAUUAUUAAGAAAAUUAAUUCAAAUGUUUAUCGCCUCAAGCUACCUAGCCAUAUUCGCACAGCAGAUGUGUUUAAUGUCAAGCACUUGGUCCCUUUCCACGGAGACUCAUCACCAGAGGAUGCAAAUUUCCUGAAUUCGUGGCCGAAUUCUUCUCAGCAUGGGGAGGAUGAUGCAGCACCGGGUGACAAGCCUCAUUUUUAAGACACCCAAAACAACAAAAAGGCUUGACAUUGUUGAGUCAUAAAUUUCACUAUUGAGCACUUUAAGUUUCUUAUGUAACGCUGGGAGUUUCAUUCCCGUUUCCUCACGUAGCUUUUAUUUCCAUAAUUAAAUUAGAGUUGUUUGCUUUAGGAGUCUAAGAGUUUAAUUUUCUUUCCGUUUCUACAUUCAGUUUUAUUUCCUAGUUAAUGCAGGACUGUUUCCUGAUCUAAGGGAGUUGUCUUUAGGAGGCUAAGAGGUCAGUUCCUUUAUUUAUUGGAUUGUAAUCGCUUUGCGACAGAUAGAUGGAAUAAAAAUAAAAAAACUUCUUUGAGUAGUUAACUCAAAAAUCUCUCUUUCUUUGUUUUCUACGGAAUUACAGAUCGAAGAAACCCUUGUGUGUUGGAACACGUGUGAGUUCCGUUUUAGUCUGCAUCAGAACUUCUUUUUUAUUCAGGGUUUUUGUUGUUUGCAGGGACGAAGGCAAUGAGGGCCAAUCUCGUCUCUAUGUUUAGUUGUUCUCUGUGUCUCUGUGUAUUUAUUUAUGCGCGUCUCUCUGUUUUUCCCUUGUUUCCCCUGCUUUUCUUCUGUUUCUGGUUACUGGUAUUUUGCUCUGUCUCUCCUCUUCCCGAUCUUCUCUGUUCAAGACGAAGAUGAUGGUGGUCUAGGCACCAGGUCUGCUGGUUGAUGGCCUCUUCCCCCACGGUGAAUUUGUGUUUUUUUACUCUGUAUUUUUAGCUCUCGAUCUCCCCCUCCUCUUUGUGUUUUCUUCGUCCUGCCUUUUAUAAGGCCAGGCCUUUUAUAAGGCCAGAGACCUUCAAAAAACCAUCACCUCCACCUACGGGAUUGUGGCAAUCAUGGCAGAAGACAUGGUCACGAUUUGGAUCGGAUGCACUGGGAUUUUCCUGUUGAAUCGGCUGCCUCCGUGCGAAACGGAAGGGAUGAAGAACACAGCUUCCAAACGGUGCCGUUUGUGUGUUUGAAGCACUUUUUCACUUUGGUCCCUGCUUUCUUUGGGAAUUUUGAUAAUUGGACCUCAAAUAAAAAUUCCUUUUAAUUUUACCCUUUUCUGGAUACAUUUCAAUUUGGUCCUUAAUUAAUUCUUUCAAUUUUGUUCUUUUUGGAUAAAUUUCAAUUAAGUCCCUGAAUUUAUUUAAUUAAUUAAAUCAAAGUUUAAUUAAGUCCACAAACUUAAUAAUUCUUCUAAUUUCAUUAAUUAAACUAAUCCAAAUUUUAAAUAAAUUUCCAAACUUAUUAAUUCUUCAAUUUCUGACCAAUUUAUUCUCAAAUCUAAUAUUUUUAUCCCUAAACUUUAAAAUUUGUUGUCUUAACCUCAUUGUCAACUAUAUUUUUAAUCAUUGAUUUUGUAUUAUUUAUUUAAAAAAUUAGGUUAUGACAGGUGUUUUAUUUCAAUUGUCACAUAAGUUUUGCGAUCUACCUUUGUAUAUCCUCAAUUUCUAGCUCAUGAACCUUUUUCUCUAAAGAAGAAACCUCUUCAUCCUCUCCUUGAACAUGUUUAGUUUUAUUAUUUUUUCCAGCUAUGGUUGUUUUGCAGCAUACAAAAAGCAAACAAUAAUCAAAGAUUGUUAGGUUCUGAUAUCAACUAAUAUAAACAGAAAUAAUACAAAAAAAUAGCAAAAACAAACAACACAAUUCUACUAAAAAGGAUCAUCACACCAAAAACCAGAAUUCAAAAUUUUAUUUCUUAAUAAUUUACCAUGUCAAGUAGUUUCCUUUGUAAGAGAUUUACAACUCCUUAAAUAAACUAAAAAAACACCUAAACAAACUAAAAACCUUCAAAAAAAAAACAAUAAAAUUCAUAAAAUAAUUAAAAAAAUAAAAUUAUUAAACAUAAUAUUUUAAAAGAAAUAGAAAAAAAAAAGAUAAAAACUAAGAAAAAUCAAUUUUUCAAAAAAAAAAAAAUCUCCUCGGAAACUCUAUUGUCCCUUCAUUUAUUCUACUAGCUAGUUUGGGCAUGUAAUCACAAGACGAGGCUUCAAUACACCUUGCUCAUACAUUAUUUAUAACCACACUAAGGAACACAGUAUAUCACAAGCAUUCUAGAUCUUGAACAAGUAGAUACAUCUGAAGCCAUUUUAAAGGCUUACCUUACCUUCAUUGAACUUAGAUACCUAUAACAAGCUUGACAGCUUGAAAUGUUACCUUCAUUGAACUUACAUACCGAUAACAGGCUUGACAGCUUGAAAUGUUCUAAAGCAGAGAUCCCAUCGAGUCCUUUUGCAUAGUAGUAGGUCGCCAAGCCCUUUACAGUGGUUUCUUGCUAGAUUGCGGAGCUUUAUACUGAUAGAAAAUCCUUAAUUGGCCCACAUAGUCCUGAGGCAUUCUCAGGACGAAUAAUUUCAAGACUCAUUCUCACCCUAAACCUUAUCAUCAUUACUAGGACAUGCUGGUUUGCUAGCUGCAUGAGUGCAUUCCAUUAAGAUUUCAAGGAUUUUCAUGAUUUAACUGUACAGAAAAUCUAUGUUUGAUUGAAUCCAGGAACCUUUACACGAGGCCUAUUAUAAUCACUACAGGAUAUUAAUAGAUUUUGCAAUACAGGGUUUGGCGAGUUGCUUUGAGCAGCAAGCACACGCACCUCAUGCAUUAGCCGCAUGAGGGUGUCCUUUCUGAACCGCUGAGCGUUUUCUUCGAAUAAAUUCAACCAGACACUUUUGCAGAAUGCUUGAGACUCUCCAGCAGAAUUUGUGGUAAUACAUGCAAGAGCAGAAUCGAAGUCUUCUUUUUCAAGCAUCAUGCAAAAUCUUUCUUUGACAAGAGGCGGCGGAGGAAUCCUAUCUUCCUGCUCCAAGUGCUUCCAAGUUAUUUCCAAAACUUCUCCCUGCAGUCACAAUGGGAAUUUGUAACUUCUCUUGAAUUGAAGAUUAGAAACAAAAAGAACACUAUUGAUGCUGUUUCAUCGUUGCCACUACACACAUACUACAUGUAUUUUUGUUUUUAUUAAUAUAGGCAUGAACAAUUCUUUAGUACUAAAUCUGAAGUCUUGAAAGGAUAAAGUGAGAAAUUUCAAUUUCUCUUGACAGUUUAUAUCUAAAAUUUGAAGAGGAUAAGGACAAGAAAGUUAGAUUUCCAUUACAAUGAAUUCUGAGAUUUUACACUUCCUAAAAUUUUCAGAAUUCAGAAUUUUCUAACAGAUGAAUUACCUAGAAGCAUUUUACAAAGAUUGUGUCCAAAGUGUACUAAAAAGAUAAGUUCUUGUCAUCCCUCCUAAGGAAUUCAACAAGGCAUCUAUUUUAUUCCUACAAGUGCUUUUGACUGUUCUCAUAUAAUAGCACCUUGAAUCAGGCUAUUCAGUCAGGAUGUAGAUGCAGUUUGGUAGCCUAGUGUUAUUUUUAUGGAGAUGCUAUUAACAUCCAUUUCAAUAAUAUGUUCACGUACAAGUGUAAUUUCAAAUAAUCACAAUAGAUUUGAGAAGUACCUUUCCAGCUCUAGAAGCAUCCAGUACCAUUCGAAGAUGACGGUUUGCAUUGAAGUGGAACCCAUGGCGCAACAUCUUUUGAUAAAUGUACUCAAAAUCAUCCCACCUGUUCUCUGCAAUGCUUGCAUCAAGCAUGGUGUUGAAAGUAUAGAUAUCUGGUAUUACCCGAAACUUGUAAUCAGAUCUUCUGCUGAUAUGAUUGCCAUCGUCUAACAUCUUGUUGAAAAGCUCGUUUGCUUCUUCAAACAAUCCAUGUUCUAGAUACGCUUUCAGCAUUAUGUUGCAAGUAACAAGAUUUGGGGGGCAAAAGUUCCUCAUUUGAUUGAAGAUGUACACAGCGUUUUGAAUGUUUCCAGAGUCCAGACAAGCUUGGAUUAAGCCAGUGUAAGUUACUACAAGCGGCUUAUUAGCAACCUUGCAUAUUUUCUCAAUCUGUGAAAUGAAAGGAGGUUGUGAUGGACUGUUUGUUCAAAGAAAAGCUAGUGGUAAUAAUAAGCACACAAAUUGUAGGUGGUUGAAGUGACACCAAACCUGUUGCAAUCUACUUGUUUAUAUCAUGGAGUUUUACAAAAGCAUCAAUGAGUGUACAAAAUAUAUAGCUUUAAAGCUUGCAAACUAUUAAAUGCCCAAAGAGACAUCCCAGCAGUUAGGAAAGGGCCCCAAUUGUGCAGCCCAAGGCUUCUUCAGUCUCUCAAUGAACCAAAGACGCACUUGCAAAACAUGCAUAUUCUUUGUGCAUUCAACAGUAGUAUAAGCUGAAACCUUAACUGGGCAGGCAACAGUUAUCAAUACACAGAUUUUUGCUUUUUGCAGUGAUAUAGCUCCCCGUGCUCAUAAACUCUAAUUAGCAACACACCAUUCAAUGCAUGCGGAUCGUUUAGCUACAAUACAGUGUUCUUUAUAUUCAGUUGUAAACAUACAUGCACAACAGAAACAUAGUAGAUUAAGCAUAAAAAGAUUACCAGAUCUAGUGCUUCUUGACACCUUCCAGAUGUACAGAGACAGCGUGCAAGAUCAUAAUAAAGAGCAGCUCAAUUCCCCGUCUUUCCAUGUCUUUGACAGCCAACACAGCCUCUUCUGUCUUACCCUCUCUCCAAAAAGUAUUGACGAGAACUGUAUGUAACAAGAAUUUGAUUUCAAAAUGAGGUUCUAUAAAAUCAAAUAAAUGAUAGACCAGUCAAGCACCUUUAUAUACUAAGGCAUUUGGAAUGGAAGACUUCUGAACUUUUUUGAAGAACUCAUGAACCAAGUUGUACUUGCCACAAGCAAGCAUGACCUGCUCAAGUAAACCAUUUUAUCAUUUCCUGGUUAUUACAAAAACUAAGAUGUAUAUUCAAGAAAAUGAGAAUAUCUAAACUGUUACCAGUUCCAUAAGUCCACUUUAUAAUACACAAGGCUUUUCAUAGGAAACAUUUUUCUUGAUGGUAUGCAGGUCAAAAGGAUAGCUCAUGCUCCUAUGCUUUGACAAUGAUAUUUAACACCAAAACCACCCUAAAAGAUGCUAGAUUGAGCACCUAUCUUAAAGAGCCAAAAAUGAUGGGAAAUUAUCACUUCAUGAUGCUAUGAAAUGGUACCCCCUCUUACUACUGAAAACUAACAUUGGAAUCCAACAUUAACAGAUAGUAGAAACUACCACAUGAACACAUGAGAGUGAAUCAAGAUAAAAAAACCUUAGAAUUAUCUUAAUUGUGAAGUAUGCAGUCAUUUGAAUAAUAUAAAAUUGAAUAUGAGAAACAGAAAGCCCAACCAGAGAAUUAAUAUUGUACAGCAAGUUCAUAUGACACCCUAUUCAACCAAACUGAUGUACCUAGGUUAGGUUACUAACUUCAUACUGCAAAAUCAAAGUCUUUUUUCUGAAUUAAACCUUUUAUUUAGCACUGGGUAAAACCUGGGGUACGUUCAAACCUCUCAGCAACAGGUGAGAUGAAUCUGGACGACACCAAAGAGGUUGGUGGUAGGAUUUGAACCAACAGUUGAUGUUUUUACUCAGAAAAAAUAAGUCCAUAUGCUUAGAUUAGAAGUCUAGUUCUAUGAACAGCUCUAUGAAAGUUGAAAUAUGGAGUGAUAAUCAUAGUAGCAAGUACAUGACUAGCUGUUUAUCAGAACAAUGAUAAACUCAUACAACAAGGUAUUGCUAAGAAUCUAAGAUACAGGUUCUGCUGAUGUGAAAUAUUGAUAAGAACCAUGGAUAGUAAAAACAGCUAUUACCUCCAUAACAAGUCCAUACGUUGCAGGUUGCACACCCUUUUCCUUCAUCUGCUGUAAGACCCAAAAUGCACCUUCCCAUUGUUUUCGCCGAACACAAGCAUUUAGGACCUACAUACAGAAGGAAUGUCAAAAUGCCGUGGAUGAUCAUAGCUGGAUUUAUGCAUUAUGUAAAUUGAAAUGAUUCACAGAUAAUUGAUUGAAUAUGCCAAGGGAAAUAGAUAAUGCAUGAUCAGCAAGUUAUGGCACAAGUCCAUCCUUGGUGUUAUACCCAAUUAGUGGGAAGAGAUGCAAUAGAUGAGAUAGUCGAAAUUCUUAGAAUGAUCUUAAGACUACGGAAAAUAUGCCCUCUCAAAACAAUAUACAGUAAUGAUUUUACUUUGCUGUUACAGGGACCACAAAGCACCCUUUCAGGUCAUCUCAAAUUUAACAAAGCAUGCUUAUUGUUUAAUGUUGAUAACAAGAUCAGUUCAUACCUAGAGAACAUGCAAAAACUAUAGAUUUUUAGAUAGAGAUAAGUCAAAACUUAGCUUAAUGGGUAUCAUUUGGAAAGGUUAGAUUCAAUGAAAAGAACUUGUCAUCCAAAAAUUUCAGAGGGCUAUUAUGUCAUCCAGCAUAAGCAUAAGGUGAUGCAAUAUACUGGGUUUAGCAAUUUCUUAAAUAUCCAUAACAUUUUCUUUGAUAACAGUUUUGAACUAUCAUGUAUUUCAGGCUGACUUUGAGCACAUGCCCACAAACACAUGCAUGCAGAGUUAAUUACAUUUGACAUGCUUGGGACAACUAACAGUCAUCAAUAUGGGUUUUGAAGGAAAAAUUAUAGUGCAGAGGUUACAGACAAAUGUUUUCCAGAUAUAGACGGCUAGUUUACUGCCAAGUGUCACUAACCGCAUUGUAGACAACAAUAUCAGGUUCCAACCCUAGGUCCCGCUUCCCAAGUGCCCCAGAUUUGAACUUCUUGGGAGGAGAUCGCAUGCUAUCUAUGACAUCAAAAAGUUCCUUCAUAUAUCCUGCUUGUCCGAGAGUGACAGCUAUAGAACGAUAAGCUACUAGGUCAGGAUACAAACACAUUUCUUGCUGGAGAGAACAGGGGAAAAAAAGAAGAAGAAGCAAUGACACAAGUCAGUGAGGAUUUCCUUUUAUAUUGUUCAAUUAAAUAACCUUGUAUUAAAUGAGAAAGGAGCAAGGCAUCAGAUGAAAAUUCUUGAGCAUUACCUGCAUUGCAUGAAAUAAAUUGAGUGCCUCCACAGGUCUCUUUGCCUUGCCAAGUACAUGAAGUGCAGUUGUGUAAACAUGACUGUAUCAAGACAUGAUGACUUACCCAAAUUACCAAUCAAAAUUUACAAUUUUGUGAACUAAUUCAAGAGAGGAUAAAAUUUUGGAUUGAGUGAUACAAGUCAUGAAAACUAUAUUUAGAAACAGAACAAGCUUUUUUUCUGCAACGUUAAAAGGUAAAAGAGUAUAUGUUGCAAAAAAGCUACACUCCAAAGAACUAAAGUGGGCUUCUCUUUCCUUACAGGACAGAGAUUCACCCUUCAGUAUGAUGAUGUUCAAUUUAAUCAAUUUAUGUAGAACAAUCUAGAUUUUGUCUGGGAAGAAACUCUGAGAGAUUAUCUUUGAAAUUUACCAAGCAUCAAGAUAAAUUCCAUUGCUCCUUGAAUUUCAGUACUCUGUACUCUAGAAAGGUAUUGUCGUUCAUGCAUACAAACAGCAGUGCAAAGAAGAUGAGAAGAUGUUACCUUAGCCUGUGGGAUUUAUAGCGUUCUCGUAUGUUAAGCCACUCGAUAACUUGUAGCACUCGCCUCCAAUUGCCCAAUUUACCCAAUAUCUGGAUAAUCCUCAAUACAGAAUGAUCUGUAUAUUUAACUCUAGCACUACGCAUUGCCUUAGAGAACAUCCACUCAGGCAUAUCAAUAUCAGCACCAUUUAACCUGCCGAAAUGAGCUGCUUCAACUUGGCAUGAUAAAUGAAUCAUCAAAGAUACAAAGAAUGAGACUGGUUCAAAUGAAGCAAUGAGCUACUUCAACUUGGCAUGAUAAAUGAAUCAUCAAAGAUACAAAGAAUGAGACUGGUUCGAAUGAAGCAUAGAAAAGAUAGAUGUACAUAUUUAAUGUAAGGGAACUUGUAUGUUCACAAGGUUAUUGACACAAGCACACAUGCCCACAUUGAAGAAAGAAUAGACAACUAUUAGAAAUUAGAAAGUUAAUUUGAUCUGAUGUAGAAUUGGGAAUAGACAAUUAUUAGGAAUUAGAAAGUUAACUUAUCUAUGAUGUAAAAUUUACCUAAACUUAAUAUCUAUGACUUGAUUUUAUACUGGUAUUUAUAAAAUUACAUCUAAAAAUACAAAGAAAGGAUAUGCUAAAAAAUCCAAGACAAGAAAACAAGAUUUCGAUUAGAAUUAUCAGGAACAAAUUUCAUUCCUUGUAAAAUUAAAAAUUAUUAGGAAUUGCUAAAAUAUUUAGAAUAUGAGCAAUUUAAGCAAUGGAUUUAGUAGGAAUUCCACUGGAAUGCAGGCUCGCGAGAAUUACUUUCUAAAACAAAACAUCAUCCACACAAAAAGACAUUCCCUUCAUUGAUGUUUAACAACUUGUUCCUCCAUAAUUUGUUUACUUUUAUAUGAACUGUCCUGCUUUCUGGAAAGAACAAACCAAGUAAGAAACCAACGGCCCCUUGCCCCCCAAAGCUAAGGCUGUCCCACAAACAAAACUGCUUGGUGUGUGACUGUAAUCUAAACAUGGAGUGAGGAGAAGGGGCACAUUAAUCUCUGGAGCACUUGUUACAGUGGCAAAUCAGAGUCCAAUGAAUUCAAAAAUGUAUCAGGUAUCAGUACCAAAGUUGGAAAAAUAAACAGGGACGGAGGACAUUGUAUUGGAAAUGUUCUUUGACAUGAAUCAGAUUGCUUUGCUCUGUUACAUGAAGACUGGUACAAUUACCAGCAUAGAUCAAAAUACAAAAUAGAUUAGCUACACAGAAUUUGCACACACAUGCCAAAAAUUUGUUAGUUGUAAUGAAGGAUAGUUAAAGUUCAGUUGAGCUUAUGAAGAAAAAAAGAGAGGAUAUAAAAGAGUAUAGAUUACACACCAGUUUCCUAGCUUCUGAAUCUUCUCCUCUAUUUUCCACAUCGGAACUUUUGUCUUGCCAAUAACAUCAUUGGAUUGCUCAAAGCUUUUAAAGGCAGCCCUUUUCACUUCAAAAUCUCACCAUAUCCCCUUUCAAGAAAAGCCUGAUCACUUCUUUUGAUAAUCCGUUUUCUGCACAUAUCUCUUGUCAGUAAUUUUAUCAGCUUGACUACGAUUCCUGACAAGUCCACCAUUCAUUUUGUUGACUCCAGAACCAAUGUUCUCUUCUUCAAAAGCUUUCCCCUUUAUUCCAAACAUAUCCAGGGAAUCUUUAGCAUGAGCAAGAUUUCUUUUAAGCCAAUAGUUCUAUCAAUGCUUUCAAUAUAUUCUAAUACAUAGGACUUCGUUGAGCAAUUCGAGUCUUCUACUCUUGGUUUCAUUGAAAUCCUCUGAGUCUGAAUUCAUGCUGCUAGUAUGAUCCCUCAACCAUCGUCCAUCACUCGUUGCCCUCCCAUUUUCCUUCUAAAUCAGCAUGCAGACACUUACUUUUCCACCCACCUUAUGAUUGAACUCUCUAAUUCUCCUCCUCUGUAAUCAAGCUCAACAUUAACUACAUCUUCUUGACCAGAGCAUCCAUCACUAUUUCACCAAACUCAUCACUUUCCAUGACUCCAGACACCUUUUCUCGUUGUUAAACCUCUCAAAUCCACAUUGCUUUCAUGUCUUACUGAUGAAGGGGCAUCACUCUCCUCUAAAUCACCCUUCAAAUUAUAGCAUGCGCAUGACUUUCUUUGCCAUCCACAUUAUGACUGAACUCUCUAAUUCUUCCCCCUCUGUAAUCAAGCUCUGCGUUAACUACAUCUUCCUCACCACUGGGUCCAUUAGCAUUCUCGCCAAACUCAUCACUUUCCAUGAUUUUGGACACCUUCACUCGAUCCUUAAACCCCCUCAAUUUUACACUCCUUUCAUCUCUUUCCAACAAUGGCGCAUCUUCCCUCUAAAUCAUCCUUCAACUUAUAACUAUUUGACUUAUGUACUUGAUUCUUUUCUUCCAGUCUUAACAGACUCCAUAGCCUUCAAAUACUCACCAAAGAUGGUUUAAAUUCUAACUCUUUCUCAAUAACCCCACCACCACCAACCAACCGAUUAUCAGACUCGUCUUUUUGCAAUGCCUUAACUCUUAAACCAACAACUCUCAUUGCUUUUCCCACGCUUGCUCUUCAAUGGAAACCAGAAAUUGGAGGUCUCCAAGAAUUCAAAGGCCCACAUGAAGAAUAUGGUUUCCAGCUACAAUUACAGGUUAAGUUCCCAUUUCUUUCAAAACCAGAUAAACCGUUUUGCCCAUUUGUCAUAAUUAUCACCUCCAUAUUAUCAAUUCACACGACACAGUCUCACAAGCCAAGUAAACCUCUAUCUUGGAGUCACUAAAAAAGAUUCCCUAGCUUUGCCUAUGAUUGAAAAAUUACAUUAUCAUAAUAAAAAGUUGAUCUUUUUCGAUAACAUACUGAAAAUUGACCUUCAAUAAUCUGAAUUUGUGAAUAAAAACAAAAUAUAACCAAGAGAAUUACAAAAGAAACCAAUGUUACUUACAAAGCUCCCAGGAAGAAAAGAAGCAUGAGAAGAUGCUAAAAUACUAUAAAGUCGAGUUCUUUUUAAGGUUUUGUUUCACUCACUGUUUUCAGUGCUUGUGGUCGAGACAUACAUGAUGACAACCUUUUACAAGGAACUUAUCGUGGCACAAUCCAAACUAGCAGUUCUGCCUGUUUGCCCAAUAGAAGCCGAUGUCUGUCAUUUGGCCUCUGGAUUAUAUAGGUGUUUAUCUAAGGGCUACUCAUUUAUUGGGCCCAAAGAGUACCUUUCAGAUUCUCCUACUUCCACUUGUGAAACCCAAACAAAAAAUCAACACAAGACCCAGAUUUUAAAUUAGAAAAAUCAACCCAAUUGAUCUUAUUUUUUUAGCCAAAAGAAUCAAAAACAACGUUUAACUGAUUGAAAAUUGGAGUUUUGAUUAGGUCAAAAUCUAGGAUUAUUAAGUUUUUUUUUAUUUGAUGGUAAAAGUAUUCUCAAACUAGAUUGUACAUCAACAGAAACUAUAAGUAUUCUCAAAUGAUGUUAAUGUCUUGUUUGUUUUUAGAAAUUUAUUUUCCUGAAAACUAUUUUUCACACUUUUUCAUGUUUUAUAAACAUAAAUAAAGUUGGUCAAGGAAACUGAAUUACAAUCAAAGAAAAAAAGAAUGAUUUAUGGCAGGAAAGUGUUUUCCUUUCCUUAUUCUAAGGAAAACACUUUUCUUUUCUUUGUUGACAAAACGUGUACUGUCCAAAAUACAAAUUUCUAACUCUCUUUCUCUCUCAAAUCUCUUACAGAACAAUUAAAGCAUCUCUCAGCUCUUCUUUCAGGUAAUUUUUUUUCCUCAAAUGUCUUUAUUUAUCUUAUGUUUUCAUCCUUUUUAUUUUUAAUCUGUAGUUAUAAUAAUGGCAUAAAUGUUUGUGAUAUAUUUGCUGCAUUUUUUUCAUGAUUUAUCUUGUUAAUUUACUGCAGCCAAUGCUCCGUAUUUUUUUCCAGAAACCAAACAAAACAACACACCCAUUCAACCAUAACAAACCCAAUUUUUUUCCUAGAAACCAAACACAGCAAACCCAUACACAAACACAGCAAACUCAGAGAAUCACCAUUCCUUCGUUUCGCCACUUAAAGAAUCACAGCAAACUCAAAGAAUCACCAUUCCUUCGUUAAGUUGAAGGCGUCUUUCGUUUCGCCAUUCCUUCCAUGUUGAGCCACCACUCUUCGUCAAGCAACCCAUACAUAGCAAACACAAACCCCUACAUUUUUCCUAGAAACCAAACACAGCAACCUAUACACAGCAAACCCAAACCCAUUUUUCUCUUGCUGUGAUUUUUUCAUAGAAACCUGGUUUGCUGUGUUUUUUUUCACAGAAACCAAACAAAACAUUUUGUUUGGUUUCUGUGAAAAAAACACAGCAAACCCAUGCUCUAUUUCUUCUUUUGUUUAAUCGAAAAGAUAUGCUUUCAAUUCCCCUCCAUCUCUUCAUCUUCCUCUCCUUUUCUUCAAUUGCUUCUCUUCUAGAAGAACCCGACCCACCCAAUGUCCCCUUCCCAAAUCUGCUACCUUUGGCUCUCCUUCUCCUUCUCUUAUGCUUUCCUGUAAAUGCUUUCCUUCUCUGUUGAUGAUAUGUGUUUCAUGUGUUUUCUAGGCGUGAUGUGCGUGCAUUGAUGAUGAUGCACAGUGAUGUUGUGUGCGUUAAUGAUGAUGAUGAUGCACAGUAAUGAAAGGGGAAUUGGUUUGGGUAGAAAUCUUAGACCGUGAAAUAUUAUGUGCAUUGAUGAUGAUGAUUAUACACAGUAAUGAAAAACUGAAAUGGUUUGGGUAGAAAACUUGAGACCAUUAAAUAUUUAUAUACAUAAUUCAUUAAUAAAUUAUUGUAUUGUUUGUUUUGGGAUACAGAAUUCAUCAUAUAAUUAUUUUCUUUUAAGGCAUUGUUUGUUUUGGGAAUCAGCUUCUUUGAGCAUAAUUUAUUGUAUUGAUUAUGUAAGUAUUUUAUAUACUUUUGUAAUGUUUAUUUCCCUAAAUUUUUAGGUUUUGUUAGCAGAAAACUUUACUUUUUUGUUAUGGAUAGUAAGAUUAUUCAUACAGCAUGUAUGGGAGCAGCUGUAAUUGUGAUAGUUAUAGGAGUAGCUAUUAUUGAACAAGAAAGAAAUAAAAUUAUAUACAAAGAGAACCACGUAUAGAUGAAAUUGCUCAAUGAGAAUUCUAUAUGGAUAGCAUUUUGAAUCGAGGUGAUAGACAUUGCAUUGAACAAAUUUGUAUGAAACCAGUUGUCUUAUAUAAUUUGUGUGAUGUUCUCACAAGUCAUGACCUAUUACGAUCAACUCAAAAUAUGUCUAUUAGGGAGCAAGUAAUUGUGUUCUUACAAAUUGUAGACCAAAACCAAAGAUUUCAUUUUAUUAGUGGUAUAUAUUAUAGGUCUGUUGAAAUUAUCUAUCGUUACUUUAGAAUUGUUUUAAAAGCAGUUCAUAAGUUAUACAAACACCUAAUUAAAGACCCAGGGGAUAUAGUUCCCGUAGAGAUAAUGAAUAAUCGAAGAUUCUAUCCUUAUUUUAAGGUAUGAGAACAAUACCAAUAUUUUUAUACAGUAAUUAAUUACAUCUAAAAGAAAAGGUUGUAAAUUAUUUUUUCAUGUUUAUACAGGAUUGUGUGGGAGCAAUUGAUGGUACCCAUGUUCCUGCAAAUGUUCCUGUUGAGAUUCAAGGGAAGUUUCGAAGUUGAAAAGAAGGAACAACACAAAAUGUUUUAGCAGUUAUAACUUUUGAUUUGAAGUUUAUAUAUGUUUUAGCUGGCUGGGAAGGAAGUGUACAUGAUUCACAGGUUUUUGAUGAUGCAUUAUCAAGACCUAAUGGUCUAAAAAUUCCAGAAGGUAUAUAAUAAAGUAUUUAUUAUAUGCAAUAAACAUAUAAAAUGUUUAAUUAGCUAAAGAUAGUAAUAAGUUUUUUUUUUCUAAUUUGUAAGGAAAUAUUAUCUGGGUGAUGCUGGUUACGAUAUUCGAAAAGGAAUCAUUUAUCUUUUUCGUGGAGUUCGAUAUCACUUGAAUGAGUUUACAGAACAUUCACCAGAAAAUGAAAAUGAGCUAUUUAAUCUUCGACACUCUUUGUUGAGAACUGCUAUUGAGCGAGGGUUUGGUAUUUUGAAGAGUCGUUUAGAUCAAUUGAUGGAAAAUCUUUUUGGUCUUAUGAAACAAAGGUAAAUGUUGUGCUUGCAUGUUGUAUUAUUCAUAAUCACAUUAUGGGAGUUGAUCCUUAUGACUUUUUUAUGGAAGAAAUAUAUUCAGAAAGUGAACCAAAUAGACGAACAAUCAACUUAAGUCAACGGAAGGAGAGGGAAGAUAAUAGGGAGUGGAUAACAAAAAGAGAAAUGAUUGCAUCAACCAUGUGGAAUGAUUAUAACACUCAAAGAAACUAGUAAUUAAGUGUUAAUUAUAUAUGUUUGUUUUUAUUAUGUCUUGCUUGAGUUUGUAUUAUCUUUGUUAUGUAUUUGGAUUAUUUGUUGACUUUAUUAUAAUUUCUUAUGUAUUUUAUGUAUUCUUUUUUAAAUAUUAAUUGUAGUUUUUAUAUUUAAUUUAUUAAAUCUAAAUAUUGUAUGAUUAUAUUUUGUAUAAAUUUGUAACUUUUUUUUUGUAGAAAUAAGUACCACACAAAAUGAAACAUGCAAGGACAAACACUUUACAUGGUCUAAGCCUAUGUCUCACAUGCUACUUGAGAUAUUAGCUGAGGAGGCACUUAAAGAAAAUAAACCUUCCUCCACCUUUAAAGUAGAAUCUUUUGUUAAGGUGACUACAUAAAUUAGUCAAAAUUUCAACAUGCAAUGCGAGUCUAAGCAUGUUGACAAUCAUCUCAAAACUGUGAAAAAAGAAUGGGGAAUAAUAACCAAACUUAAAAAUAAAAGUGGCUUUGGUUGGGAUAAUUGUUUGAAGAUGAUUAUAGUUUCAAAAGAUGUAUAUGAUGAAGAAGUGAAGGUAUGUUAAAUAUUAUACUUUUCAUAAUUUUUAUAUCUACUUUUGUUUCCAAAAUGUUAUAUAAGGAACUAAAAAACCUUUUCUUUUCAUUUUUCUUUUUAACCAAAUUCCAAUAUCAUAUGUUUAAUUUUGAUAUUUAUUUUAUGAUUUUGAAACCUAUUAGGGCCCAAUUUUUUACUGUUAUCAUAUCGAACAAAAUCUAACUUAUAUCAUUAACAAUUAACUAGAAAGCUAAAAACAAGGGUGAGAAAAAAAAACUAAAAAAAACCGAUUAAAAUUUAAAAAAAAUUGACCAUUCGGUUCGGUUAUAUGAGCUUGAAACCGAAAAAACAGAAUCCAAACAAAAAAAUCUGGAAAAAAACCGAUCCAAACUAGUUUAAACUGGUUUUGGUCCUAAAAAACCAAACCAAACCAAACCGAAACAGUUGGUUUGAACCGUAUUUGUUUCUUUCUUCUUCUUCUUCUUUUUAAUUUCAUUUCUAGUAUUUUUUUUAUUUACUUUUUAUGAGGUUAUUCUAAACUUAUACCUUAGUUGACAUUAGUUUUUUUUUUCCUCAAUUGACUUUUUUUUUUCAAUUUCACCCUUUAACGUUGAAUUUAUGAAAAAUUAUACUUCAUGAUUUAUAUCUGUUUAUUUUGUAUAAGACUAUCUCAAUAUCAUGACUCAAGUCACAUGUUUGAUAUUUUAAUUUGUGUUGACUCGAUUAAUUUUUUUAAUCAAUUUUUUAAUUUUAAUUCUAUCCUUCAAUAUUAGAUUUAGUUGUUUGUUUUGUUCACCAACCACAUUGUUGUAACCCAAUUUUGGAUUCACCAAGAUUUUCUUGAAUAUUAUUUUAUUUCUAUUAUUAUUCAUAAAAAUCCAAAAAAAAAUAAAAAAAGUUUAAAAUUCAAAAAUAUAUUUUUCUCGAGUCAACCGCAUCUUUCCGGGUCAAACCAUGUCGACCAGGGUAAAAAAUGAGUUUCGGGCUGUUUCGGAUCAAAACCGUCAUUUUCAACCAAAACCGAGUUCACCGGGUCAAACCAUGUCAACCAGGAUAAAAAAUGAGUUUCGGGCUGUUUCGGGUCCAAAACCAUCAUUUUCGACCAAAAACCGAGUUCACCGGGUCAAACCAUGUUGACCAGGUUUAAAAAUGAGUUCCGAGCUAUUUCGGGUCAAAAACAUCAUUUUCGAUCAAAACCGAGUUCACCGGGUCAAUACGGGUCAAACCAUGUCGACCGGGAUGAAAAAUGAGUUUCGGGCUAUUUUUGGGUCAAAACCAUCAUUUUUCGGUUAAAACCCGGUUUACCGGGUUGAUACCCAUCAAAUGUUUUUUUGUAUUAGCGGUUGCAACGAGGUUUUUUGUUUAAUACUGAUUUUAAUUUUUAAUUUUAUCUAUAUAAAUAUUUAUUAUUAUAUAUAAUAAUACAAAAUUAAAAUUUUCAACGGAUUAGUUGUAUUAUUGAAUUAGUAGUUGUGUUAAUAUUAUUUUUUUAUUUAAGGUAGAUGAAAGAGCAGUUGUGUUGUACCCUGCUCAGUGGAUAUAAAUAGCCACGUGAGCAGGGAAGAAGGAGGGAGAAAAACAGAAAAGAAGAGAAAGAAUUCAUACACUGUGCAUGUUUUUUUUAGUUUUUCUUCGUGAGAGUAGGAUAUUAUUUAAAAAAAAAACAAUUUGAAAAUACCAAAUAUAUCCUGACCCAUCUCAGCCAUUGAAAUAAUCCAUGAUGUAAUCUCGUUGCGCCACAUCAUCCGGUGCACCGAGAUUUCGGUGUACUGCGUCACACUGGAUAAACACCCACACAAUCCGGGCCGUCCGAUCAACCUGCAGAUCUAACCAAUCACAGCCAUUCGAUCGUUUCAUCCAAGAUCCAACGGUUAAAAGCCUCCCGCUGCACUAGAGUACCAUGGACACGUUCACACCGUAGCCAAUCUCAGAGCCUCUCUCUCCUCUCACCGGCGACUCUCUCUCUCUCCUCUCACCGGCGACUCUCUCUCUCUCUCCUCCGAUCUCCAUUUUCCGGCCGUAUCAAGCCUCCGCACCACCACAGAAAGGUAUCUACCAUGGUUUAAAGCAAAACCCCGGUGGUUUUCAUAGUUUUCGCCGCCUCAUAUGGCCGAAAAAAGGCCACGAUCUUCGUCGGCCACCGAAGCUUCAAGUCGUCGAUUCUCCCUCGUCAGCCAUCAACGGACGUCUAGACCACCACCAACACAAUCCUCGACCUCAGAUCUACCAGAAUCGACCAUCGGUUUUCCAGAAAGCUCGCCUGAAAAUCUAGCCGCCACCAACAGUAGCCGCGCGUGAGCCACACGCGCCGCCAGGGCAUUUUCGUAAAUAUCUGAUAAAUCCGAGGGUAUUUUAGUCUUUUACCUAUACUGUGUCACUUAGGUAAUUUUUUUUAGAUUUCUAACAUUUUUUUUUUAUUUUGUAUAUAAAUUUUCUUGCAUGUUGUAAAAAAAAAAACAAGGAAUAGCAACGCGGGUCCAACACCCAUCCUAUUAUGUUAUCAUUCGUGGGUCCAAAGCCCAAUUUUCAAAUAUAGUUAUACCCAUAUCUCAACGAUAUCAAAAUAUUUAUUUUUAUAAACAAAUAUUGUUUGUCGACACGUCUCUUUUUAUAGAAAAAGACCGAUGUAAAAAAAAAAAAAGUUUAAAAACCAAACAAAUAUGGAUUAUGUCCAUACUUUUGUUUUUUGGUAACUUAGAUGUAAAUCUCCUUUUUAGGGUUAAACGUCAAUAUUUUAGACAAGUGUCCUAUUUUUAGGGACUGAUGUCAUUUUUAACGUGUCUCCUAUUUUUAGGGACCGACGUUAACUAUUUUAUAAAAAUAAAAAACAAAAUUGCAAAUAAGCUCAAAAUAUAAUAGCAUUUAAAUCAAAUAAAAAACAUACAAGUAAAGGUAACCUUUCUCUUGAAAGGAUGUUUUAAGGGUAGUGUCUACCUUCCCUUAAUCAUAACUAACCCAGUACCCGAAUCUCUGGAACCAGUGUCUAAUUUGGAAUUUCUAGUUCCCUCAAAUUACUAGAUGGCGACUCCAAUAAAAUUUUCAUUUUCCCAAUAAAAAAAAAUCUUUUUGUUAAAUGAACAAAAAAAAGAGGAGUCGUCACCCGACGUCGUGUAUCGACACACAUGUUACCUUGAACUUGAUUGAUUGUCAAGUGCAUGUUUUUUAAAUUUGACAUAUUCACCAAACCUAUUUUAUUUAGGUUUAAAACAGUCUAAAACACUCCUCGUAUUACUAUAAAACAGUCUAAAACACCUAGACAACUAAUCAUCCAAAAUCAAGAGCUCACCAUUACCUAGGGUUCUAGUUUUGAACAACUUUUGAACUUAGUGGAAUGUCUAUAAUCUUAUUUAUCGAAAUGUUAUUAUAACAAUCUUGUAACAUCUUUAGGUUAAAUUUAUUUCCACACUUUGAAUCUUAAAUUGCUGCUAGACAACCUUAGAUUUGUACUGGAUCACUAAACAAGGAUAAGCCAUUGUCUGGGACAACAACUUGUUGAAACUUCUCGCCAUGAACGUCAAGUGAAUGUACAAUGAUUCCGCCAUAGAUUUUACCAUCCAAUAUAUAACUCCAUUAGCACAUAUGGCUUCCUUAAAAUCAUACCACUUCGUGUACCCAUAAAAAAAUAUAAUGCUUUUUAUUUAUUCUUAACUAUUUUUUUGUCCCCAGCGUGAAGAUUUCAAAUUGCUCUUUGUCAUGAACACAAACUUUCAUUUUAUACCCAUUAGCCAAAGAUCAAACCCGAAGGAAAGAUGGUCUUGUAUACUAAAUUGAGAUACGGUGUCCAUCAUCAACUAUGCAUAACUUUAUGAAUAUGCACAUCCCAAUCAUGACAAGUAUCUCAAUAAAAUACUUGAUAUGUACGAGGCAAUAACAAUUGUUGUUGGAAAAGAUAUGGUAACCGAAAAUUAUGUCAAAUCAUAUGAUGAUGUCAACUUGGAAGAGAACACUGAAGAAUAAUCAAUUUCAAUUGAAAAUGAAGGGGAAUAUGAAGAAACUUUAAAAGAAAAAGAGACAUCUUCCUCUAGUGCACGAAAGAGGCAACAUAGAAAGAAAAAUAACAUGUAUGAAGAUGAUAGUGUUUAAAAGUUGUCUAAAAAGAUUGGAGAUGUAGCAUUUGCAAUCCAAAACCUCAGCAAAAAUCAACUAGAUGUUAAUGAACUAUAUACAAAAGUGAUGAAAAUUGAAGGCUUUGAUAAGAUCACUCUUGGGGAUGCAUUUAAUCACUUGGUCUAACAUGAAAUGUUGGCAAAAACAUUUAUGGCAAAAAAUACUAAUUUGAGGAAAAUUUGGGUUCAGAAUUUUGUGAACCAACACUACUACAUGCUUGAUUGCUAAGAUGAUUUUACUAUGAUAAGAAAGUUUAUGUUUGUUAUUUGACAAGUAUGUUUACUUGUUUAAUUCGGUCUAGCAUGUUUAUGUUUGUUAAUUUGAACUAAUAUGUAUGAAUAUUACAUCAAAACUUAAUAUUUAUGCAUGACUAUGUUUGAUGUAAGAUAUUUAUAUUUAUUUCUUAAUGCUUAUUUAAUAUAUAUUAAAAGGAUAUUUCAAGGAUAAUUGCCUAUAUCCGUAAAAAAAAAAAAUCUUUAUCUAAAAAACCCAUCAAAAUAUUUUUGUAUUUAUUUAUCUUUUAAAAAAAUCUUCAUACCAAAAAACCCAAAUAUCUAACUCUUACUUAAUACCAUAAACUAAUUUGGCUCUUUUCAUAUGAAAAAAAACAUAUUUUAAGCUUUUAAAAUUGAAAAAAAAUAUUAAUAGAUUUUAUUUAUGAAAAAUUUCACAAGGUUAUAUCUCUAUAAUAUUUAAUAUUAUAUGACAUAUAUAGUUAUAUUUUAUAAAAUAAACUAUAAAUGAAUAUAGGAUAUAAUAAAAAAAUUCAUCAUUACACUUUUUAGAUUUUUUUUUAUUGUAAAUGAUUAAAUAUUUUUCAUAUAUUAGAUAAAUUUAAAAAAAAAAAAACUUAAUUCAUUAAUAAAUUAUUUUUCAGUUUAUUUUUUAUAACAUAACCAAAUACUAAAAAAUAUUUUCCAGUUUAUAAAAAUCACUUAAAAAAAAAAAACUUUCCUACAAAUAAAUAUAACCUAAAAAUAUAUUAGUCGCAUUAGUCGCAUGGACUUAGAGGAGUUUAAUUGGAGUGUUUGAGGACAGAGUGCUACAUGUGUGCCCCAAUUUAUCCCAAGGAAAUCACUGGAAAUCACUGGUUUUUAACUUGGGCGAAUGCACAGAGAAGUUUUACAAAUGAGCAACAACAAUUUACAAUAAUUCAUAAACACAGACAACAAGACCAUCCAUGUGGCCUUCCCUUUACAUCUUUACGUCUUCCCUUUCCUGUCAAAAGUUCAUCCUCCCAAGGAAACAAAAAAGGCAUGGCUCAAGUUCAUGAGCCAUCCGCGUGGUCGUUAUCAUUGUCGCCUUCAUAAUAUUCAUCGUCGCGUUGGAUUUGCUUGUCCUGGGUAUGCUCUGAAAUGAGAAUUCAUUAUAAAUUAGUAACAGGGAAAAACAUCUAGAUGAGAAAACAAAAAACUCAAAGGAGCAAAAAGUGCACUAGUGUAAGACACCAAUGUGCUCCACCGUGUGUGCAGCCAUCAGUGUGAGAGCACAUAAUUUUGAGUAUUCCACUUACGAUCCAUGCGCUCAUCAGGGUUUUGCUCAUCUUCAUCAAAAUCGGGAAUGUAGAAGUCAGGAGGUACCUGCAGAUAUGAUUGUCAUCGUCAACUAAUUAAUGACUUCCCAUGCACAAAUAGCUAGUUUAGUUUCCUUUAAUCCUUUUGCAAAGCACUGCAGAUUUGACUAAUUGAAUCUUUGAUUGGUUAGCUUAGCUACUUAACAAAUACUUGCAUCUAACUCACCUCUUGCAUCUGUACACUUGGAGCAUGUUGGAUGCAACGGAGAUUUUCUAGUACUUGCAUUUUGAUUGUGCUAAGAUAAGAUUUGCUAUUUAAGUUCUCCUGCUCACUCAAACAAAAAAAGAAGAAGAAAUAUUAGGAAGGCUGCAAGAAUGCAGGAUUGGCACUGACAAUUUAAACUAGGUCAGACUUUAAUAGCAAACCAGGAAUCACAGGGAGUUUCAGUGCAGUUACAUACCAUGAGUCCACCAGGACUUUUCAAUGAAUAAUCAGGGGCAAAAUAUUUAAUAUACUCAUUUUCUGGAAUCUCUGCAAGAAAAUUGGAUUGCAACAAAAUCAGGUGCUAGAAAAGAGUAAUCUGAGCUAAUGAAUUAUGAUGUAUAGUGGGAGAAGUGUUAACGAUAAAUGGCAUGGAAAGGGUAGAAGAUGAGGCCAACCAUGAUUAAUGGCAUGCAUUAACCAAAAAAUGCAAAAUUGUAUAUAAUAUGACAUUAAAAAAUAAAAGAAAGCAAACUUUCAUAACAUGAUAUCAUUAAUGACAUGCCACUUCCCAACCCCAGAAACACUACAUAACCUAAGAACUCCACAUCAACUCACCACAGAACAUCAUGUAGUUAUGUUUACAAUUUCUUCACAGAGGGUGAUAUGUGAGAAUUCAUCUUCCAUGCUCAGUUUUUCCUUUCAAUUAGAAAAAGGAAGUGAUUAUAUAAGCAUACCAUUGGGCAGUUCUGUGUCUAAAAGAACUCCUGUUUCAACGGUCCAACAAGGGACCUGCAGGGGAGUAACUUCUCGUGAGCUUUGACAUUUCAUAAGAGGAGACUACUAAUAGGGAUUGGAGCAAAUAAGAACAUACCAACAAGGGCAAGUUGAAUUUCUUCACAAACCUAACACAUUCUGCAUGCCCUGCAACAAACAUCACAAUGCACACCAAAUUAAUACAUCACCAACUGGCUUAAGACCAUUCAUGCAGCACCAACAACAGAACAAGCAAAUAACUGCUCCGUGUGAGGACAAAUGCACAAGGGAAGAAAAAGAAAUGUAACAAUUACAAUUAGAUAUGCACCAUCAAUGGAAAGAUUGAAGCAGCCCAAGCGGUCCCCAGCCAACGAAUCUGCUCCGCAUUGAAGAACUAUUGCACCUGGCUGAUAAGUUUCUACAACCUUGGAAAUGAUCUGCAUGACAGAUAAUCAAGCAAAUUAUUAUACUUCGCUACUUGUUUUUGUGUCUGUGUGUGUGGGCGGGUUGAAAUCUGAACUUACUGUUUUAAAUAGUCGAGUGAAGCUAGUGUCAUCGAUUCCAUCUUUCAGUGGAACAUUUAUAGCAUAAAAUUUUCCUUCUCUUUCUCCUAGUUCCUUCAAUAAGAACCAUAUCAGCAUUUUAUUCCAAUUUCACUUGGUACAAGACUUGUCUGGAACAAGAAUGAUAUAUAGAUAAAAGGUUCAUAGAAACCAGGGAAAAUAUUUCUGAGGUUGCUGCAUCCCUGUUUCACUAAAUAUCAGGGCAGACAAACUGAGUUUGAGGGGGGGGGAACAUAAUGUUGCAUCAUUAAAAAAAGAAGAAGAAAAAGAUUUAGAGCAACCAGCAACGCUUUGUAUGAAAACAGAAUAAGGUAACAAACACAAAAGUACAGUUGCUUGACAUUAGGAAUAUAAAAGAAUGAAAAAGCAUUAAAUAAUCACCUUAACAUCACCAGUUCCAGGAAAGAACAUAUCUCCAUACUUGUGAAAACUCACAGUCAUCACCCUGUCAAAUGAUAAACAAAAAUUUUGUAUUUCUCAUGACUUUACCAUUCCACUACCAGUCCAAAUUCAUAAUAGAAUAUAAGCUUUCACUACCUGUCAGUGAAAUAAAAGGCUUCUUCAACACCAUCACCAUGAUGAACAUCUAUAUCAAUGUACAGAACACGAGCAUGGUGUUUCAGAAGCUCCAAAAUCCCCAAAACCAGGUCAUUGAUGUAAUAAAAACCAGAUGCCCCGCACUUUUUUGUAACAAAAGCCAGAGGUUCCAUCGCUCAUCACUUGUAGCUCCUCCCCUCUUCCUUCUUACAUUAGCAUGCGCAUGACUUUCUUUGCCAUCCACAUUAUAAUUGAACUCUCUAAUUCUUCCUCCUCUGUAAUCAAACUCUGCGUUAACUACAUCUUCCUCACCACUGGGUCCAUUAGCAUUCUCGCUGAACUCAUCACUUUCCAUGACUUUGGACACCUUCACUCGAUCCUUAAACCCCCUCAAUUUUACACUCCUUUCAUCUCUUUCCAACAAUGGCGCAUCAUUCCCCUCUAAAUCAUCCUUCAACUUAUAACUAUUUGACUUAUGUACUUGAUUCUUUUCUCUUCCAGUCUUAACAGACUCCAUAGCCUUCAAAUACUCACCAAAAGAUGGUUUAAAUUCUAACUCUUUCUCAAUAACCCCACCACCACCAACCAACCGAUUAUCAGACUCGUCUUUUUGCAAUGCCUUCAACCCACGCUUGCUCUUCAAUGGAACACCAGAAAUUGGAGGUCUCCAAGAAUUCAAAGGCCCACAUGAAGAAUAUGGCUUCCAGCUACAAUUACAGGUUAAGUUCCCAUUUCUUUCAAAACCAGAUAAACCGUUUUGCCCAUUUGUCAUAAUUAUCACCUCCAUAUUAUCAAUUCACACCACACAGUCUCACAAGCCAAGCAAACCUCUAUCUUGGAGUCACUAAUUAUAUUGAUCAGCCUGUUUUAUAAUUUGAUUGGAGAUUUGGGUAAUGGGUUAAAUAUAUAAAAAUUAUUGAUUAUAACGAUAAGUUUAACGAGUUUUUUUAAUGAAAUAAUAUUAUUUUAUAUAAAAAUUAUUGAUUAAAUAAUCUUACAUGAAUUUUUAUAGGAUUAAUCUAGUCAUCAAGUUUAUCAAAUCGAAUUAAAUAAAGUAAACUGUUCAAAUAAUUCGAAAACCAUCAUGAUCCGAGAGUUAUCAUGCUAUUGAAUCAACCAAUCAGCGCAGGCGGAUUUGAGAUCUAUGAAGAAAGAUGAUGUAGACGGGUGAAGUAAUGCGUUGAACUUCCACCAUAGCCUACACAGUUGACGAAGAAGGUAAUUGGGUAAUUUGUCACCUCUUUACCUGUGUCUGGUCUGCAUGGAUACAUCUCUUUCCAAGUGUCUGUCAUGAACACUCCCAAAAACACUUAAAAAAUGUUUGUUUUUUUAGGUAACUUGUUACUCAUGGUUUUUAUUUUAAAAAAUAAAUUUUAAAAAAUAAAUUUUUGAAAAAUAUAGUUAGGAGUGGUUGUUGGAUUUAGAUAUAUAUUAGAUAAAAAUUAUAAUUGAAGUUUAUGUAUAACAAAAAAAUAUAUAUAAAAUGUUUGGUAAAAGUAUAGUUGCGGUUGCUUUUUACUUGGAAAUGCAUUAAAAUAAAUUUUUUUUAUUUUUUUUUAAAUUUUUUUUUAUAUUAGUGUAUCAAAAUGAUCUAAAAACAUUAAAAAUAUAUUAAUUUGAAUAAAAAAAAAACAUUCAAAUUUAUUUUUAAAAAAUUUUGAAACGCAAAAACAAACAGGAUUUUACGAAAUUCCGUUAAGAAAACAUAUAAAAACUAAAAUUUACUAUAUAAAAACUGUAUUUUAAAUUUAAUUUUUUAAUAAAUUAUAUAAUAUAAAAUACAAUUUAAUUUAUUAUCAAACAACUAUCUAAGUAAAAACAAAUAAAGCCUAAAGCGAAAGGAAAAACAUAAUUUGCAUCGUCUGAGAGCCUCUUUUCCCCUGUGGAGGUUUCAAUUUCAUGGCCCCUUUACGUUUUCCACUAGAAAGUGAUGGGCAAGAAGAUUCAACACGUGUACAGAGUUGGUGUACAGAUUCAACAUCUUCCACUAGAAAAGAUGUGGAAUCUUUGCUUUUCCACUCAAGAGUGUAGUGCAGGGCAAGGCAAUAUUAGAACAGGUUAUCUACGGUGACUUCCUCUGUAUCUUCGAGCUUUCCACGCAGUCACAGCUUGAUGAUGUCUCUUUCCUUUGUUACUGCGUCACGAUGUCUUUUUGGAAAUUUAUUGGUAUUUAAUUUUAAGAUAAUUAAAAUACAUAUUUGUCAAAAAAUUGAUAAAUUAAUUUUACAUACAAAAAGUCAAAAUUCUCUUUUAUUAUUUAUUUUUUAUCUUGACAAAAACAUAUAUAUUUUUAAUUAGCAACAUAGUUGUUUUAAUAAAUAAAAAACUUGGUAAUUUAAAUAAGUAUUCAAGAAUUUUUAAUUAUUUAAAUUAAAAGAGAAAUCCUGAAUGGUUGUUAUAAAUUUGUUUCGCUCUUUGUUUUUUAGUCAUUUUUUUUUUAUAUUUUGUUAUAUGCUUUGUGUUUGAUUCCACUUGUCUAGCCUUUCUUAAUAUUUGUAGAUGGAGCGCAUGCGCGGUCCUUCUGCCUGAAGAGUAUACUAGUAAGGGUUGAAUCGGUCAUUUACUAUUAUCUCACAAAUUAAUAAAGAUGAAAGCAUAGUUAUUAAGAUUUUACUUUUACAAUCUUUAUGAUUUAUGAAUAUGCUUUCUUUUUUCUUGAUUUUUAAGUUUAAAUCCUCAAAUAAACAUUUAGAAAUACUUAAUAAAUUACUUUAAAUAUAGAAAAUCAAUAUAGAAGCAUAACAAUAAAUAUAUGAAAUAUAACCAUUUAGUAGAACAAAUUAAGGGGAAAAAAAAGAUAUCAGUAAAUACCUCUGGUUAUGGAUGCCAUGAUCGUUGGAACGCACUUCAUUCCUGAACAUGGAUGCCCUUGAAUUAGGGUUUUCUUUGUAAACAAGGGUUUAGAGUAAUAAUAUAUAGUUUCAAAGCAAGAUGGACAUGGAAUACUACCAAGGGUUUUACAAAACCAUAACGUUAAAAAAAGAGUUUCCAUGAAAAAUAAAUGGAUCGUAUAUAGGAGUGCUGAUUUUGUUACAAGAGAAGCAGAAAUUAACACAUAUAGAGGAAAUCAAGAAGAAUUGAUUUGGAAAAAAAUAAAAGGGUUUAUUUUUUUGGGAAAUAUUUUUAGGAAUCCCAUGAAUCAAGUCAUGGAAAGUGUAUUUAUUUUAAUUUUUCCUUUUUAAUAAGAUUUUUUUUAUAAUCUUUUCUUUAAUUGGUAAUCAUGAAGAAUUAAUUAAAAGUUUAAUUUGUCAGCAAAAAGAUUAGCAAAGAAAUCCUAGAUAUUGAGAGUGUGUCCCGGCCAAAUCUCUUUGUGCUAAUAACUUUCUUAAUUAAACAAUGUUUGAGUCCUAAUAAAUACAGUUUUCUCAAUAAGUAAGACAAUUUCAUUUAAUAAUCCAUGGCCUUCAAUAUAUUUCUCGACAAGAAUGGAAUAGGAUUUGAACUUACAAAAUUGAAAACCAAUUUUCUACCGAUCUGAUCUAGUCUCAAAAAAAGAGAAAAAAAAAAAUAAGUGAAUACUAAAAUUCACAUUAACUAAUAAAUUGAAUUAAAUUUCAAGACACGUACACAAAAAUGUAUAUAUAAUGAAUGCUUUGCAAAAUUAGAAAAUAAAAAGAAAUUAAAGACAUGAACAUGAGGGAUUAUGAAAAUUCAUGAUAUCGUAAUAAUACGUUUAAUUUAUCAAAGCCUCGUCCUUGUAUAUUCAAUAAAUGGGACAUCCACUCAUCCAAAUGAUGAAAUAUGUAAAAUCAUCUCAAUUCAAUAAUUUAAGAUAUUAGAUGAGGUUUCAGGAUAUGAUUUAUAUUAUUCUCUAACAUAUCAUCUCAAGUGAAAAACUUUUAGACUUGAAACUUGAAUAGGCUCACAUUACCUUGUGCUUAAUUUUUAUCAAAUAAAUAGAGAUGGUGAAAUUUGAACUUGAGACCACUUAGUCAUUAAAGCUUUGAUACCGUGUUAAAAAAUAUUCUCAGCCUAAUAGCUUAGCUGUUAGGUAAUGUUUUAAGAUAUAAUUAUAUUAUUCUAUAAUACAUUCCUUCAAGUAAAAACUCUUUGGACUUAAAGCUUGCAUAAAUCUAUAUUAUUUUGUGCUUAAUUUUUAUCAAAUAAAUAAAGAUAAUGAGAUUCGAACUCAUGAUCGUUUGAUCAUCAAGGCUCUGAUACCAUAUCAAAUAACCAUCUCAGUAUAAUAAUUUAAAUUAUUAAAUAAAAUAUUAAAAUAUAAUUUAUAUUAUUUUUUAAUAAUAUAUAAAGCAGAAAAAGUCUUUUGAUAAAAGCACCAUUUCUUUAAAGAGAGUUCAAACUUGAACCUCUUCUUUAUAACUAAAAAAAAACAGUGAAAAAAAUUACUACCUAUUAAUUAUAUGAUGAUUAAUUAAUGUUAUAGCUACAAGAAGGUACGUAGACAAAGCUUAAGACCUGACUUCGCCCCAUGGUUUUCUUGAAGGGAAGUACAAGUGCCAGGCUAGCUAGCAAGCUAGUUUACAUUAUUCUGUAUCAUCGUUAUCAUUUCAAUAAAACAAAUAUAUAAAGAUAUGCCUAUUGUAAUUGUUUAUGGAAGCAAUAUGGUUAUUAUUCUUAUUUUAAUUUUUUUUGCUUUAAUAUCCAUAACCAUAUUAAUUUUAAAAAAUAUAAUUUAAUUGAUUAAAUUUUAAAUUUAUUUUUUAAAAAUUACUAAUUUAAAUUUUAUAAAUCUUAAAGUUAGUAAAGACUUAUAUUAUUGUUAAUUUUAAAAUUCAUGAAAUUAAUCGAAAUAUGUAGAAGCUGAUCCGGAAAUCUAUAUUAAUUAAAAAAAAAAGAUUAAACUUAAGCCAUAUAUUAAAAUUUUGGAUGAUGAAGGUAACAGCAGUGUCAAUAACGAGGAUGUGCUGGAAGGCCUUCAGCCUCACCCAGACAUAAGAAGCUUGACAAUUGAGGGUUAUGGAGGUGAAAAUUUCUCAUCAUGGAUAUUGCAACUCAAUAAUCUGACGGUGCUGAGAUUGAAAGGCUGCAGCAAGUUGAGGCAACUCCCAACACUUGGAUGUCUUCCACGCCUUAAGAUUCUAGAGAUGAGAGGAAUGCCUAAUGUGAAAUGUAUAGGCAAUGAGUUCUAUAGCAGCAGAGACAGCGCAGGUGUACUGUUUCCAGCACUACAAAUACUCACUCUAUCCAGGAUGGAUGGUCUUGAAGAAUGGAUG